rnacentral:lncRNA from 1 species
GCCGGUGAACUUGGGGCAGCUGCUGAACGUGUGUACUACCAACGCCCUAGGGCGGGUGAUGUUAGGCAGGAGAGUGUUCGGCGACGGCAGUGGAGGCGAAGAUCCGAAGGCCGACGAGUUCAAAGAGAUGGUGGUGGAGCUGAUGGUCCUGGCCGGAGUUUUCAACAUCGGCGACUUUGUGCCGGCGCUGGAAUGGCUGGACCUGCAGGGCGUGGCUGCCAAGAUGAAGAAGCUCCAUGCUCGGUUUGACGCUUUCCUGGGCGCCAUCGUGGAGGAGCACAAGAUCAGCGGCUCUGCUGGUUCCGAGCGUCACGUGGACUUACUCAGCACGUUGAUCUCGGUGAGGGAUAAUGCCGACGGUGAGGGAGGCAAGCUCACCGACGUUGAGAUCAAAGCCUUGCUCUUGGUAUCUCUCAUUAUCCAUUUUCUUUCGUUCCUUUUAAAAAAAAAAUAAUUAUAUUUAUUUACAUUUUUUCCAGAAAAAAAAAAAAAAUUAUUAAUGGGGUCAAAUCUCCCAAAUAAAGUUUGAUAUGGACAUUACAAUAAACUUUUGUUUACUUGUAAAAGUAAGAAUUAUUAUCUGUCACUGUUUCGUCUACUUCUUGUGGUAAUUUGGUACCUGAAAUUGAUGAAAACCGUCUGUUGACAUGGCAGAACUUGUUCACAGCUGGAACUGACACCUCAUCCAGCACAGUAGAGUGGGCCAUUGCAGAGCUCAUUCGCCACCCUGAAAUGAUGGCCCAAGCCCAACAAGAGCUGGACGCAGUGGUGGGCCGAAGCAGGCUUGUAACUGAUUUGGACCUGCCCCAACUCACCUAUGUCCAAGCCAUAAUCAAGGAAACCUUCCGCCUGCACCCAUCCACGCCCCUCUCCCUCCCUCGGAUGGCGGCGGAGAGCUGUGAGAUCAACGGCUACCACAUCCCCAAAAACGCCACUCUUCUAGUGAACGUGUGGGCCAUAGCGCGGGACCCAGAGGUGUGGGAGGAGCCACUAGAAUUCAGGCCCAACAGGUUCCUCCCAGGAGGGGAAAGACCAAAUGCGGACGUGAGAGGGAAUGAUUUUGAAGUGAUUCCAUUCGGGGCUGGCCGGAGAAUAUGCGCGGGGAUGAGCUUGGGACUGAGGAUGGUGCACCUGUUAACCGCGACGCUUGUUCAUGCGUUCAACUGGGAGUUGCCGGAAGGCCAGGUGGCGGAGAAGCUGAACAUGGAUGAGGCAUAUGGGCUGACCCUACAACGAGCCGCCCCACUCAUGGUGCACCCACGGCCAAGGCUGUCACCCCAAGUUUUCGGGAAGUAAAUGAGGUUGUUUGCCCAUGAUUAAAAUAGAAGACUUGGUGAUGGAUUUGGCUGAAUAAUUAUGAUGUUCGAGAGCGAGUUUAGUAGUUUUGUGAUGGGUUUUCCCUCAACCACCUGCAUGUUAAUACUGUAAACGAUGAUUCUCAAGGGGUAUCUAAUAAUGCAAUAUGUUGGUUUAAAAUUUAAAAUAUUUACUUCACAAUAUCGAGCGUAGGAGAAGAAACUAGAAAGUCAUAUGAUGAAUAAUGUCCCCAAAACUCAAACAGAGAUCAUCACAAUCUAAAGAGUCGUGCAAGGCGGCGAGUGUACCAACUACCAAUAAAAGCACGAAAGCUGAACAAGGAGUAGCUUCAUCUGUCAUCUGACCAACCAGCCUCCUCACAAAAUACCAUAUUCCAAGUCAAAGGUAGUAUAUAUGAUUUAUUGGACGAGAAGUUGAGGCUCCAAACAUCUUUAAUACAGCACCUUUCAAACAAGAUACUUGAAAAUGUACAAAAUCACCUCAUCUCGAAACCAGGAUUAUAAAAGAAGACGACCUCCCGGACCUAUCAGAUGACCUGAUCGUACAAAAUCACCUCAUCCCGAAACCAAGACUAUAAAAGAAGACGACAUCCCGUACCUAUAAUAUGACCUAAUUGACCGACAUGUGUCUAAAAAGACGAGUCCAAUUACCCUUAUCCCCUUUAUCCUUAUAUGCACAAAAGUCAAUAAAGCCUACCGUAAAAAGUGUGCUGAAACAACUCCUUCAUAAAGAAAGUAACUUUAAAAGAGAAGUCUCUUCCUCCUUAAGGGCUCUCUCUCUCUCUCUCCAUCUUAAAGAAGAGAAAAUGUAUCUUUGUAUCCAAAAUGAUUGAAUAAAAUAUCUAAUAUGUUUCUUGAAGAAUUUUAGCAUAUUGAAGAAGUAUCAUAACUCCUAAUAGAUUUAAUUAUCACUAAAAUUAUUGAAAUAAAACCUCUAGAUGUGUUGUGAUCAUGAAUGCUUAAAUACAGUAAUUUUUAUUUAUUUUUAAAAUAAAUAAUAAAUUAAUUAAUUUAAUCUUAUAUAUUCUCUAGAUCAUGUGGUAUCUUUUAAUUUUUUAAUAUUAAUUUUUUUACAAAUUAAUUAUCAAAUUUAUAAAAACCCCAUGAAUAAUUGACUAAAUCGAUUCUUCCCUAACUUUCAAUAUCUUUCAUAAAUAGGUAAUUUUUUAAAAUAUUAAAGAGUAGCGUGGAAACUAAUUAUUAAUCUAAUUACGAUAUUAAAUAAAUAAAAAUUAGAUAUUUUUGAAAUUCAUGUACUAUAUAGUUAUUUUUUCAUAAAUAAAUUCUUAUUUGUAAUUAAUAAUUUACAUUAAUAAAAAUUUAUAACAUUACUUAUAUCAUCGUAAUAAAUUUAAAAAAUGUGGACUUUGUUGAGGCCUCGCGUCCGUGGUAAUCCAUGUAGUUGCCAAAUGGAUGGACGCACGAUCUCAACCAAUAUAGAUUUCUGGUUUAGUCGUUCCUGCAAAAGGCGUCUGGACAGGGUGUCUGGAUACACCCUCCGAUGGUAUUGUCAGCCAUGGUCCAAGAGAUAAAUCAGUUGGCCUUUUACUAGGUAUAUCAAAACUUACCUUCCUCUUUGUGCGAAGGUCCAUAUAUAUCGUCUCAGAAGCUCUAUCUCCCUCUUUAAUGAUAGAGAGAUAUUUUGGCUUGUCAUGAUGUCUCUAGGUGGUGACAGGGUCAUCAUCACUCGUAGGGCGGCUGACAAAGAUCGUGGGAGGCGCCGCAGCUGUCAGAGAUCGUAGGAAGUGACUUGCCAUCAUUCCUGUCCUUUCACUCUGCAGGUGGCGGAACGUGGGCCGUGAAAGACUGUCGGAAUGACGUAGUAAGACUUGCUUACUUUAGUCAACGAUCCGGACAAACAUAUCCGGAUAGGAUAUGUCAGUCGUUCGGAUGUGAUAUGACGAUCGUCCGGAUGUGAUGUUUGCGAGUGUCAUGUGCUUCUCCCUGAGGAAGUCCGGAUAUGAGAAGCGCGUCACGUGUCUCCUUUGGGGGAAAUCCGGAUGGAGCUAAUCCGGAUAGAAAUGUGUGCCACUUGUCAUCAGGGGGAGGGGUCCCUACAGACUUGUCGUUCAUUUCUUUCUCUCUCAAUAUAUUAUUAAAUACAUAAAUUAAUAAUAUUUAUUAAAAUGAUAUUUGCAAGUUGGGGGUGGGAUGAGAACUAUUAAAUACAUAAAUUAAUAAUAUUUAUUAAAAUGAUAUUUGCAAGUAGGGGAUGGGAUGAGAACUCGUGUUGGGAUUUUUGAUCCUAAACGUCUAAUUGAAGGGAUUUUGAAAAAAAAUAUUUAUUAAAGUAUAUCAAUUUUAAAACCAUUUUCAAAUCUACUAUAUUUUUUAUAAUAUCAAUUAAAAAUUAUCUUUUUAUAAAACACCAACUUUAAAUCAAAUAUGAAAAUUAUUUUGUGAAAAAUUAAUUUUAAAAUUCAACUAAGUUUUCUCUUCAGAAAACAACUUUUACUUUAAGUUUUUGAAAGUACUAUACAUUUGGAAGUAGUUUCAAAAGUGUGAUAUUUUAAUAAAUAUUUUUUAAAAUUGCAAUAUUUUUUUCAAAAUCUUGACACUUAAGAUAGAGUGGGCAAGCAUGGGAAAAAAAUUUACAUACACUCAAAUUUAUGUCUUAGACUAGGAACUGAAAAAUUGUGGGGCAUAUGGAUAAUACAAAAACAAUUAUCUUACUUAGAGUUACUUAUUAUUACUUAUUAUUACUUAUGCAUUAAUUAAAAGGAAAGUGUUAAGGUAUCCAAAUGCUACAUAUAGAACUUCAAAUUCGGACUAAAUUGAAUAUAUAUAUAUAUAAUGAUAUUUAAGUAAUGAAAAUUCAAACAACUAGGAUUAUGGUAUAAGAAUAGGAAUAAAUGAGAUUAUGAUACAAAUAAUAACAUUUGAAAAUGUAUACCUAAGAUCAUUUUAUUGAGUUUUUUCAUACAUUUAUUUGAGCUUAGGAUUGCAGAUGGUGCAUGUUGGGAAGUGUCACAAAUUCCUAAUUAGUAAAGAUUGAGAGAUAUUCAAUGGAACGAGAUGACUCGUGGUUCAAGGUGUAAAUAUAAAGAGUGAAAAUAUAUUUUGAGAACCUAAUAAUUAUAUUUGGUUUUGUCCUCUAUAAUGUUCUCUGUGAUAUAAUGAAAAGAUUUUCUCUCGUCCGUGAAUAUAGGUAUGAUUGAUCAAAUCACGUUAAAACCUCAUUGUAGCCUACUCUCUACGGUGAAUGGUUUGUUUUUGUUUUUUGUUUUUAUUUAUUUAUUUAUUAUUUUGUUCUUCUGACCACCCGGAAUCAUUAAAACCUCGUUGUAGCGCCCCUGCCUCCUGUGAAAGGGUUUGUUUUUGUUUCUAUUUUUUUUUUUUUUUUUUUUGUUAUUCUGAUCACCUCGGAAUUAAGCUGAUGGGGCGACCAAAUACGAAAGGGGAGAGAGAGAGGGAGUUUUGGGCAAACAUGAUUCCGAAAUUCACGGAAUCAUUAUUCUUAUUUUAAAGUCUUGGGCGACGGUGAAUAACUUUUUAAAAUUUCCUAAAAUUUUAAAGUCUCAAAUUUAUUUAUUUAUUUUAAAAAUACCAUUCUCAAAAUAAUUUUCUAAAAUUUGAUUUUAAAAAUUUAGUUUUCAAAACUUUAAUUCUCGAAAUUCACUCUUCUAAAACUCCAUUUUUUAAAAUUUAAUCAUUUAAAAUUCAAUUCUUGAAAUAAUUUUCUAGAAUUCUAAUUUUAAAUUUAAUUUUCCAAGAUUCAAAUUUUUAAAAUUUAAUUUUCCGAAAUUUCCACAAUCCCGAAUUUAAUUUUUUAUUUUUUAUUUUUUUAUGUCACAUUCAAAUAAAUUUUCGAAACUCCAAUUCCUUUUUAUUCAUUUACUUAUUGAUUUUUAAAAUUCCAUCUUUUAAAUAACUCUUCAAAAUUCUGUUUUUAAAAUUUAAUUCCAAUUUCCAAAAUUCCAAUUUUCGUAUCAAUUUAUUUAAUCAUUAUCACUUUAUUCAUUCAUUUAUUUGUUUAUUUUUUUAAAAUUCAAUUUUUAAAUAACUCUUCAAAAUUUCAUUUUUUAAAAUUUAAUUCCAAUUUCCGAAAUUCCAAUUUUCGUAUCAAUUUAUUUAAUCAUUAUCACUUUAUUCGUUUAUUCAUUUGUUUAUCUUUAAAAUUCAAUCUUUAACUCUUCAAAAUUUCGAUUUCUGAAUUUAAUUCAAAUUUCCAAAAUUCUAGUUUUCUUAUCGAUUUAUUUAAUCACUAUCAUUUUAUUCAUUUAUUUAUUUGUCUAUUUUUAUCAAAAUUCAGAUUUCCAAAUUAAGUUUCCAAUUUCCAAAAUUCCAUUUUUUUCAUUUACUUAAUCAUCAUUAUUUUCAUUAUUAUCAUUAUUCUAUUUAUUUAUUUCAAAAAUUCCUUCUUCAAAUGAUUCCAAUCUUAUGACUUUCGAAUUUAAUUUCUAAUCUAAAAAAUUUCAAUAUUUAUGUACGUUUUUCCCAAAACCCCAAUUUCCGAACUUAAUUUUCCAAAUUCCAAAAUUCUAAUUUCCUUCAAAUUUACUCUCCAAAAUUCUGAUCAUUAAAUUUAAUUCCCAAGACUCUAACUCCCAAAUAAAUUUCAAAAGUCCAGUUUUCACUCGAACGGUUUUGAUUCCACUCUAGUUUUCAAAUAAUCUUCUUUUUCUUUUGAUUUUAUAUAAGCGUGAAUGCAAUUUUCAUAAUUCCAAAAUAAUGGAAUUUGUGAUAUUAAUUCAUGCAAGAUUAAUCGGGCUUUGGUAGGGGCCCACAUAUGAGUUUUCUCUUCUGAUUGUAAAUUGUUAUGCUUGAUGAGUAUUGUUUGAUCUUUGUCUUGCUCUUUGAUAUGCAUGUGAUGAUUUUAUAUCUGAGCUAACCUUGUUUCCAUGAUAAUGCACUAUUACCUGCUGUCAAGAUACGCUCCCACUCCCGCUUUGCUUACUCUUAUGCGCGAUUCGUUUUAUUAUUUGAUCAUUUCAUUAAUAUCCAUUGACUUCCUUAUCAAUUGCCACACUUCCUUCACCUUAUUUAGUAGAGAUCCGAAUUUAGGGACUUAGAGGGGUGCUGCGGUCCUUAUCAUACCUUCCCGAUAAGUAACCUGACCCCCGAGCCUAAUCCGGUUUUUCACAGACCACCUUUUUCGAAAUAAUGAGUCACACUUAGGGUUUUAUUUCUUAUUUUAUUUACCCUUUAAAAAUAAAACAAAAAUAAGUAGUGACUCCAAGUCCUUUUUUAAUCAAUAAAUCAUUUUUUAAAAAUAAAAAUUGAACUCGCCAUCGAGUGGAAGCGCAUGAGCCGAAAUGCGGGGUCCACACUUACGUAAUCUAACAUUAUUUAUAUUAAAGCUUUUGUUAACGCAACAAACUAGUCUUCAAAUUGAUGAAUGGGGUUUUUUUUUUUUUUUUUUCNNNNNNNNNNNNNNNNNNNNNNNNNNNNNNNNNNNNNNNNNNNNNNNNNNNNNNNNNNNNNNNNNNNNNNNNNNNNNNNNNNNNNNNNNNNNNNNNNNNNNNNNNGGGGUUUUUUUUUUUUUUUUUUCUCAUUCAUACUGUGGACCCCGCAUUUCGGCUCAUGCGUUUCCCACUCGAUGGCAAGCUCGAUUUUUAUUUGAAAUUUUGAUUUUUAUUUGAUAAAGAAAAAUGACUUGGAGUCGCCACUUAUUUUUCUUUUAUUUUUAAAAAGGUAAACAAAAUAAGAAAGAAAAACCCUAAGUGUGACUCCUUAUUUUGGAAAAGGUGAUCUACGAAAUAUCGGAUUGGGUUCGGGGGUCAGGUUACUUAUCGGGAAGGUACGGUAUAAACCGUAGCACCCCUCUAAGUCCCUAGAGUCGGGUCUUUACUAAUACAAUGAAACUGACGUGGCAAUCAACGAGAAAGUCAAUGGAUACACACCUAAAUUAUACACAAUAUGGGAAUCAAAACACGCAAUAGAGAUUGACUAGAAUGAGAGUGGAUGCGUACCUCGACCACAAGCCACAAUGCGCUAUCAAGAAACGGGAUUAGUGCACAAUUAAGGAACACAAAAAAUAGCUCAUGCAUAUCGGAGUGCAAAACGAAGCUCAAGCAAAAUACAUUAAGAGCCCGUUUGGCAGUGAUUUUUAAAAGUGUUUCUACCCUUAAAAACACUUUUAAGUGUUUUUGGGAUGAAAAUAAAGUGUUUGGCAAAUUUUAAAAAACACUUUUGAAAAUCUGGAAAAACACUUGAAGUGAUUUUUAGAGAAUCACUUGAUAGGUGUUUUUUUAAAAAAAACACUUCAAUUUUUUUGAAAUAUUCCAAAAAUGCCCCCCAGUGAUAAAUCAAUUAGAAAAAUCUUUUUUUUUUUUCCAGAAAUUAAUAGGUGGUCAUAUAUUGUUUUACUUUUAAAAUUAUCUUUUAUUCAAUGUUCUUUUUUUUUUUUUAUUGAUUUAGAUGUUUUUUGUAAAUAUUUUUUAAAAUUUUAGUAUAGUGAUAAAAAAAUUAUUAUUUUUAAUUAGAAAAGUCUUUUUUUUUUUUUAGAAAUUAAUAGGUAAUCAUAUAUUGUUUUAAUUUUAAAAUUAUCUUUUAUUCAAUGUUAUUUUUUUAGUGAUUUAGAUGUUUUUUCAUUAAUAAAAAGUUUUUUUUGUUUAUCAUACCAUUUUUUUUUAAUUAAAAUUGUAUGUCCUUUUUGGUAAUUUAUUAAUAUUAAAAGUGUUUUUAUAUUUAUACAAUAUAUUAUCAAAAACACUUUAGAAUCAUUUUUUCUGAUUAUCAUAAAAGUGUUUUUCACAGAAACACUAUAACAGAAAACACUUCAAAUAAAAACACUUCCACUAGAAUCACUACCAAACGGGCUCUAAGUACGACAAUUGACAAUAAAAAAAGGAUCACACAUAGGGCCCCCACCAAAGCCCAAUUUAUUACUCAUGAACUAGUCUCACAAAUUCCGUGUUUUAGAAUUAUGAAGAAUUUAUUAUUGUUUAUGUAGAAUCAAGAAGAUCAGAAGAUUAUUUAAGAACCGGAAUAGAAUUAAAACUAUUCAAGUGAAAACUGGAUUUUUGGAAUUUACUUGAAAAUUGGAGUAUUGGGAAUUGAAUUUAAAAUAUUAGAGCUUCGGUAAUUAAAAUGAAAUUUGCCAAAGAAGAUGAGAAAUGAACUUUAGGAAAUUGAUUUGCGAGAAUAUGGGUUUUGAAAGUUGAAUUUGUAAUAAUAAUAAUAAUAAGGAGUGAACUUUAGGAAAUUGAACUGCGAGAAUAUAGAUUUUUAAUAAUAAUAAUAAUAAAAAAAAAUAAACUUUAGGAAAUUAAAUUGCGAAGAUAUAGAUUUUUAUUAAUAAGUAUAAUAAUAAUGAUAAUAAUAAUAUUAGGAAAUUGAACUGAGCGAGAGUAUAGAUUUUUAAUAAUAAUGCUAAUAAUAAUGCUAAUAAUAAUAAUAAUAAUAAUAAUAAUAAUAAUAAUAACCAUAAUAAUGAUAAUAAUAACAAUGAGGUUUUGGAAUAAUAAUAAUAAUGAUAACAAGAUUUUGAAAGUUGAAUUAAUAAUAAUAAUAAGAAUAAUAUUUUAAAAGUUGAAUUAAGAAUAAUAAUAACAAUAAUAUUUUAAAAGUUGAAUUAAUAAUAAUAAUAAGAUUUUAAAAGUUGAAUUAAUAAUAAUAAUAAUAAUAAUAAUAAUAAUAAUAAUCAUAAUAAUAAUAAGAAUAAUAAGAUUUUUAAAUAAUAAUAAUAAUAAGGUUUUGAAAGUUGAAUUAAUAAUAAUAAUAAUAAUAAUAUUUUAAACGUCGGAUUAAUAAUAAUAAUAAUAAUAAGAUUUUAAAAGUUGAAUUAAUAAUAAUAAUAAUCAUAAUAAUAAUAAUAAUAAUAAUAAGAUUUUGAAAUAAUAAUAAUAAUAAUAAGGUUUUGAAAGUUGAAUUAAUAAUAAUAAUGAUAUUUUAAAAGUUGAAUUAAUAAUAAUAAUAAUAAUAAUAAUAAUAAUAAUAUUUUAAACGUCGGAUUAAUAAUAAUAAUAAUAAUAUGGACUUCAAAAAAAUGGGCCUUAAUAAUGAUAAUAAUAGGCCUUGGACCUCAAAAAAAGGGCCUUGGGAAUGAAUAGUACAGGGGGCAUGAGGCCCUUCAUUAACGCGACUAGGCUUGGGCUUCCCCACCAGGCCCAUAUCCAUCAUCUUGGACAGGCCCCAAGCUCUAACUCCAUCACAUGCUUGGAUUGGGCCCCAACUCAAGCCCAAAUUAAAAGCAAACCCAAGAACACCAAAUUCUCUCACAGCCCACAUCUCCAACCUCCGCCUGGGCAUCACCAUCUAAAUACUCUGUGUCCUCGAGCUCACCGUCAACCUCAUCGCCUUCUUCAUCGGAACCCCACAUCUCAUCAUCCUCUUUCAAGGUUCGCCGCCCACGCGCACUCACACGCGCUUGCUCUGGUUGCCGAAGCCAAGGGUUGAACCAGUCUUGGACAGCCGCAAUAACGUCAGUGCGCGGGCAUCUGCUCAGUUCUCAUGUUAGACGAAGGAGAUGGGCCUUCCGAUCAGGGUUGAGGAGAAAAAGGGAGGAAGCGAUCCUGCUCGUUGGAGCAAUGCGCCAGGUGACCAUGGAGAUCGGUGGAGAAGUUACUCCUAGCCUCUGAGACGAGCAAUGGAGGAGGAGAAGCUCCACUGCCGCCAUUGAUUCAGCUGACUGGGCAAGCUUGAGGAGGCGGGUAUGAAGGAUGGCGGCCAUACAUGGCUAUGCGUGGCCACGUGAGAACGAGAGGAAUGAGUGCAAUGGACAAGGAAAAUGGGUUUGGAUAAGUUUAGAGAUAUGAUAUGCAUGGGCUGCUAGAGAGGAAUAUGAUGGAUGAACAUGGAGUAUACUAUGGAUGGGAAGGUAGGGAUGACUAUGCGCAUGGAGCUCCAUGCACACGAGAAGACAGAGAAUCAAAGGGUUAGUAUAGAUAGCAUGGGAUCUCAGACUUCAAUGUCUUCAAUAUUGCGUUCUCUGCAUCACUCCAAACAUGACGCUGGCUUUCAGGAUGGAGGCAAACAGAGCAAAGGAAAAAAAAAGCAAAACCAAGCAUGGAUAAUCGAAACAAAUGGAACCCAUAACAGCCUCAUGUUGUGCAUUAAUCCCUGGGCUUAGAUGGAGGUGGGUGAAAAUAAAGGAUCAUCAAACAAAACCAGAGCAUGGUUGCAGAUAUAUUAUGGGGAAAAACAAAGACGAAAUCACCUUAAGCAAGAACCAUUAAGAAGGGAUAUAUGGAUAUGCUUACCCUCAACACACAAACAUCACCCAAGAAUGGACAGAGAAAGAGAAGAGAACCAUACCUGUGAGUGAUCUUCUCUAACAAGAUCGAGCCAAAAACUCAGCAAAGCAUCCCUCUUUUCCCUUGCUUAGCUUUCCACCAUUCUCUCCUUUUCUUCCUUUCACUAUCUCCCAUCUCUCCCUCUUGUCCCGUCUUUUCCUCUCUGGCCCCCCACUUACUCCUCCUGCCACAGCCCCAAAGAAAAGAUAUAUUUAUUAUUAUUUUUUCUUUGCUGGCAGCUUCUCCUCCGAGCUAUCUCUCGCCGCCACCAGCAGCUCGCCUCAUCCCAUCCCAUGGCCGCCCGUUUCCCAGGUGGUCAGUAUAUAUAUAUAUAUAUAAACAAUCAGAUGUCUCUCAUGGGGGGUCUACACAUACUUUUAUUCAUUCAUGUAUAGAGUAUAUAUGAAGGAUAAUCACCAUUCUAAGAAUGGGAAAGAAUGAUACAAGGAAGGAAUGAUAUAAGGAAAUAAUGAUACAAGGAAAGGAAUAAUAUAAGGAAAUAAUGAUACAAGGAAAGCAUUCCUAAUAUCUCAACACUCCCCUCUUAAGGAAAAAAUGAUACAAGGAAAGUAUUCCUAAUAUCUCAACACUCCCCCUCAAGUUGGUGCAUAGAUGUCACACAUGCCCAACUUGUUUAAAAAUUUUGAGAACACUUGUCUUGAGAUAGCUUUGGUGAGGAUAUCAGCCAAUUGAUCUUCUGAUUUAAUCUUAGGCAAUUCCACAAUCUUAUCAUCCAACUUCUCCUUAAUGAAGAAUCUAUCCACCUCGACAUGCUUUGUAUGAUCAUGUUGUACUGGAUUAUGUGCAAUGUCACAUGCAACAUUAUUGUCAGAAAACAAUCGGAUUGGUUGCCUAGAUAGGUAACCUAAAUCCUGUAAGAGGAGUCUUAGCCAUAAUGCCUCACAAAGUCCUAAAGCCAUACCCCUAAAUUCUGCUUCUGCACUUGAAUGAGCAACGACAUUAUGCUUCUUACUUUCCAUGUCACAAGAUUACCACCUACAAAGAUAAAGUAACCAGAUGUAGACCGCAUAGCAUCCACUGUACCGACCCAAUCAGCAUCAGUAUAUACUUCUAUACUCUGAUGAUCAACAUUUUUAGCGAACAAAAUUCCCUUCCCAAGAGCAUUCUUCAAAUACCUCAAAAUACAUAUGAUUGCAUUCAUAUGUUGUUCUCCAGGAUUAUGCAUGUAUUGACUCACUAUACUCAGUGCAUAAGCAAGAUCUGGUCUGGUAUGAGCUAAGUACAUUAAUCUCCUUACAAGUCUUUGGUAUCUUCCUUUAUCGGUUGAUACUUGAUUAGGCUCAACACACAAUUUCAGACCUUUUUCUAUUGGUGUAUCCAAGGAUAGAAAUAUCGGUAAAUACGGAUAUAUCGGUACUUGGAUUUUACGGAUAUAUCGGAAAUAUCGGUGGAUUUUUCAUCAAAUAUCGGUGAGACAAAAAUUAUCCAAAAUUGAUGGGAAUGCUUAGAAAAAUCCAAAGAAUGAUAAAAUAAGCAAGAAUAUACAUGUUAAAGUUAUUUUAUAACUGUAAUUGACAUAAAUAUGGUCAAAGAAAAAAAUAUCGGUAAAUAGUUUACGAUACUUGGAUUUUAAGAAUAGAAAAUAUGAAAUUUGGAAUUGUACACUUAGAAAGUUAGAAUUGAGUUAAGAAAUAUUUGAUUUUAUUAAAUGAAAACAAUUUACACAUAAACAUAAUACAUAUGACAUUGCAAUGGUCCUUAAUACCAAAAUGAAGAUCGAUGUGGUUCCAUCAUAUUGUUAUUGUUAGAUGAAGGGAGCCCAUCUUGUUGAAGACAAUAUUCAUACCAGGACAUGGAGUUUCGAUAGUAUUGAUUGUAUGUACGAACAUGCCAUGCAUAAAUUUCUUGAGUCUACCAACAACUUGUCCAUGGAUAGGAAAUCCAAGGUUUUCCCAUGUGCUCGUUUGAAAUCCUUGUUGUUGCAACUGAUGUGGAAGGUAGUAUGGCAUUUGUGUGGAAGAAGGAUAGUUAUACCUUUCAUACUCUUCAUCAGUGGAACUUGAAAGAUUUUGAGGAGGCUGACCAUAACUCAUUGCAUAAGGGGCAUAAAUGUUGGCUUCGUUUGAUGAAUCACUGAAUUGAGUCUCUACACUCAUCGACUCAAAACUGGCCGACAAUGAGUCCUCGUUGUACAACAUCAUCCUUCGUUGUCUUCCUCUAUAUGGCUUUCCAAUGGCUCCAACACCUGGACCGGCUCUUCUAGAGCCGUGGUCUUCAUCUUGAGUACAAUGUGUGAAAUCAUCUUCACAAGUAAAUGCCAAUGGUUGUCCACUUUGUUGUUGUUGUCUAACAUCCCCUUCAUCAUUUCCAAGGUCGCUACCAUCAUUGGUCCCCUCUUCUCUUGAACCAUCAUAACCGGAAGCGGAGGCGAAAGUACCAGUAGCACUAGGUCUACUACUAUGUUCAACACUCGUGGAGUCAAAAGAAGGUCGAGAAGUGACUGCCGGCUGAGAAAUUCCUUGUCAAAAUGAAUAUCUCGUGUCUUGGCUGAAACUAUCAGUAUGAACUUCUUCGGAUAACACUCAAUCAACAUCAACACCUGCUUCUCGGACAUGUGCGGCAAUUCGUGGGUCGGGAUUUCCAUCUUCAUCAUCUAAAUGAAGAGGUCUAACCCAUUGAAACAAUUGGUUAUCUUCUUCUUCACCAACCUCAGUUGCAAUGUCAAGUAAAUCGAGGUAAUCUUUCUCUGCAACUUUGUCAUGUUCUGCUUCCAUGUCACGUAUCUUUAGUUUCAUGUUAUAAUAAUAGAAAACUAAUUGUUGGAGCAUCGGGUAAGCAAGCCGAUUUCUUUGUUUUGUAUGAAUUAAGGCAAACGUGCUCCAAUUUCUCUCACAAGCUGAAGAUGAUGCAGUUUGCGAUAAAGCCUUGAUGGCCAACCUUCUUAAUGUAGGAGUGUGAUUUCCAUACAUGAACCACCAUUCAGCUACAACCAAAUAAAUGAUAUCAAUACUUAUAUUGGAAAGUUACAAUAAUAUGCUAAUGAAAUGAAUUAUUAAUUCACAAAUAAUACUCACCGGGAACCAUUUCUGACCUCGAAGCAAUCGCUGCUCGAUCACCGAAUCCUCUUUUUGCAUCUCGAAAUAGUAUAAUCUACAUAUUAAAUAAUUGAAAGUGAAAAAGUUGAGUAAAUGAAAUUCAAUUAUUUAAUUUAUAUUAUAACUCUAAUAAUUUACCUCAUUUCCAAAUUGACUAAGACCUUCUGAUGUAGGAUCUAAUUUCGCAAAGACUUCAUGAACAGCUUGAAGUAGAUCAGGAUCAGUACCAACUCCACGUUUAUAUUGAAAUCUUGGAUUAAGAAAGAAUGCUACAAUAGUAAAGUAGAAAUGUAAAAUUAGAAUGUUAUGAAAGAAACAUAUUAAAUACCUAUAAAUUUCAAAGAUGAAUAAUACUUACCUGCUGCAUGAAGAGGAUGUUUAAGAGUUCUAUCCCAACGAUCUGCAAUUAUUUCUAACACCCAUUCUUUAGCAUUAAGUCGAAUGAGGUUCUCUUUCAUAACUCGAAUCAAUUCAUACACAAAUGGCAUUGUAGGAACAACUUCUGAAUCGACAAUGCGAAGAACUGUGUAUAACGCCUCAUAUAUUGACACUCACUUUCCCACUCUUUCCCAGUACGCAUGGUCAAACAUAAGUGAUUCAACUUCUUUGCCGAUUAAUGUGCGACUUAAGUUGUGUUGUGCCCAUUCAUCACUGAUAAACACUUUCUUCAAGUUUGCUUUCUUUUUCAAAAGACUGUCGAGGGCUAUAUAAUUGGUUGCAAAUAUUGUUGCUCCAGGACGAACUAUGUCUCCACCACACACCUUCCGCAUCUGUGCAAGCAACCAACCAUGGUUAUAAAUGAAGUUGGUUAUCUUUCGAGCCUUUGUAAUCACAUCUGCAACACUCGUCCUUUUACCGAUGUCUUCGAACAUUAAGUCGAUGCAAUGUGCUGCACACGGAGUCCAAUAAAGAUUGUAUUUUUUCAUUAACAACUUCCCCGCCUUCACAAAUGCCGACCCAUUAUCUGUAACUAUUUGGACCACAUUUUGUUUGCCAACUUCCUUGAUUACAUCCUUCAACAAACCAUAUAUGUAUUUGUUGUCCUUUAUAUUAUUUGAUGCAUCAACAGAUUUGAGGAAGAUUGUGCUACCUUUUGAAUAUACCAUGAAAUUAAUUAUGCUUAAUUUCGUGGGUCCAGUCCAUCCGUCAGACAUAAUCGUGCAUCCAUAAGUCUUCCACUUUUCUCUUUGAAUAUUGACAUAAGCUUCCAUGUCUUUGUACUCCAUAUCCAAAUACUCGUGUUUGAUUUCAUAAGGAGGCGGUGGUUCUAUACCCAUACCUACCAUCCAUAUAUAAUUAAAACAUAUAAGAACAUUUGUGGCAAUCAUACUAUAUAAAUAGUAAUGAUAUUGUUAAAAUGAAUACAACUUUUAAAAUUAUAGUAAUUACCUGCUUGUUGUGCACCAAUAAUCAUGUUCUUGAAGUGGUGAGAGUCUGCUUUAUUGGGCGGAACACUCUCAUAUAUGAAGAACUUACUGAUCAAAAGUCCCAUGGUUUCCUUGAUGGCACCACAUUUGAAAAGAUUUUUCAUAGUUUUCUGUCUUGCCGCUGAAGAUUUGUACAAUGAGGGUGCAUCAGGCAGUGAUGGAUCUGAAUAUCGAACACUUUGCGAUUUUCGCAUUUGCCUUGUUGUUGGAUUGGUUGGAUGUGAAGACUCGCCUAUUAUAAUUAUUAAAAUUAAACAUAUAUGCUAAUUUAAUAUUAUUGAUAAAGUUGAUAAGAAAUAGUAAUAAUUCAAAUUAAUAUUAUACUUGUUUUUCUUUUGCUUUUUAUAAAAUGUUCUUCUUGUUGUCGAUUCCAUUCAGCAGCUUUUGAUGCUUGAACCGCCUCUCUAUAAGCAUGUCGCUCAUCAGGGUGCAUGUCAGCCGGAUACAUAUACACAUCAUCAUCUCCAUCAUCAUCAUCACCACCAAGGUUCUCCUCAUCGUCCUCAUCAAUUACAUGUCUAUGUCUUCUUCCCAUUGUGUCUCGCAGUUCUGAUCGAAUCUCUUCUAUAUCUGCAGCUUUCUUCGCUUUUGCCUUAUUUUUUUGCUCUAGAAGUCGUCUUAUUUCUUGUUUCACUUCUGGAGGCACGUUAAGACACUUUUUUGUAUUUGAAUUAGGGUCUGUAUGUGAUAGGUGAAAUUUAAAACAAGUAAUCCCACCACUCUUUAUUGCCAACCCACAGUAAUUGCAUAUUGUUCCAUUUUUGUUCCCUUCCAUAGGUGUACAAUAUUUCCAACAAGGAUCUCGACCCAUGAUACCACUUUCACUAGCCAUUUUCUAAAAUUGAAUUAUGAAACUAAUAUCAAAUUUAAAAUUAUUAAAGAUAAAACAUGUAUGAAAUUUAAUAUUCAUGAAAUUGAUAAGAACUAAUAAAAAUUGAAAUUAAAAUUGAAUUAUGCACAUAUGAAAUAGAUAAACAUUACAAUAAAAUUUCAAUAUGAAUUAAAUUUAAAUUAAAUUAAAUUUGCAUAUUCAUGAAAUUGAUAAGAAUCAUUACUAAUAAAAAUUAAAAUUAAAAUUGAAUUAUGCAUAUAUGAAAUAGAUAAACAUUACAAUAAAAUUUUGAUAAGAAUUAAAUUAAAUUAAAUUAAAUUAAAUUUGCAUAUUCAUGAAAUUGAUAAGAAUCAUUACUAAUAAAAAUUAAAAUUGAAUUAUGCAUAUAUGAAAUAGAUAAACAUUACAAUUACAUUUCCAUAUGAAUUAGAUAAUAUCAAUUAAACUAUAUAUAACAAAUAAAAUUGAAUUAUACAUAAUAAAAUAAAUUUUAUGGAAGGUAAGACAUACCUUAAUUAGCCUUGACUUGGAGUUAAUCCCCUUCACCACCAAAUUUUCAAAAUAAAAAAAUUUUGCUAGAUCAUAUAAGAAUUUUGAUGUAUGAAAUGGAAUGGAAUGUGGGUAUUUAUAGGAAUUUUUUGGUCAAACUAGCCAUUGGAUGGUCAAAUAGUCGUUAUAAAUUAAUUUUAACCGUUGGAUCAAAAUUUGGUUCAAAUUUCACCAUUAGAUUUUCAUAUAACCGUUGGAAACACUCCAUAGCCCUUGGAUAAAGUGAAGAUUGAUUUUCCACCAUUGGAUCACAAAUCUGACCGUUGGAGGCCUUUACAAAUACACGGGUGAAAUCUGGGCCAUCAGAUCCUCAAAAAUUCAAAAUUGGCCAUCAGAUCAAAAUCAUUGGAGCUGGGAAAAAUCGGCGAUUUUCUCGGUAAAAAAUCGGCGAUAUAUCGGUAAAAUCGUCGAUUAAUCGCUGAUUUUUUCAACUCCUCUGGCAGCUUCUCCGCGCGUGCCUCCACUCUUCGAUUUUUUGCCGAUUUAUCGGUGCUUCACCGAUAUUUCGCCAAUAUAUCGGCGAUUUUGCCAAUUUUUGGCCGAUUUUUCCAUCGAUCGAUAAUCGGUGACGAUUAUUGUUUCAGUGCCGCCCGAUAUCCGAUAUUUAUUCGAAAUAUCAACGAUAUAUCCCGAUUUUUCAAUCCCUGGGUGUAUCAACAAGUUGACAUCCCGACAUUCCAGUCUCCUAUAAAAGAUUUAAGGCAUACUUUCUUUGAGACAGAAAAAUUCAUUCACUUGAUUGAGAAACUUCAAUCCCAAGAAAGUAUUUCGGAGGACCUAGAUCUUUCAUUUCGAAUUCUCUAGAUAGAUAAUUCUGUAGAGCUUUUCUUUCUUCAGGAUCAUUUCCUGUAACUACCAUGUCAUCCACAUAUACGAUGAGUGUCGUAAUCUUACCAUGUUGCUUUUUCAGGAACAAAGUGUGAUUUGAAUUACUUUGAUGAUAGCUAAAAGCUCUCAUUGACUUUGUGAACCUUCCAAACCAUGCUCUCGGGGAUUGCUUCAACCCAUACAAUGAUUUCUUCAAUUUGCACACCUUCUGACAUUGCUUUUCUGACCCCAUGCAUCCUGAUGGAAGAUCCAUAUAUACUUCUUCAGAUAACUCGCCAUGUAGAAAGACAUUUUUUACAUCGAAUUGUUGUAAUGGUCAAUCCAGGUUUGCAGCUAAAAACAGUAAUACUCGAACUGUAUUGAUCUUAGCUACAGGUGCAAAUGUCUCUGUAUAGUCAAUUCCAUAAGUUUGAGUGUACCCUUUUGCUACCAAUCUUGCUUUAAAACGUUCAAUACUACCAUCUGCCUUGUACUUCACAGUAUAGAUCCAACAACACCCAACUGGCUUCUUUCCUGGUGGACAUUCUACGAGUUCCCAUGUUUCAUUCUUCUAUAAUGAUUUCAUAUCUUCAUUCAUGACUGCUUUCCACCUUGGAUUAGCUAAGGCUUCCUGCACACUGUUAGGAAUAGUUACAAUAGAUAAUUGAUUUACAAAUGACUUAUUUGAUUCAGACAAACAAUGGUUAGAUACAUAGUUGCUCAUGGGAUAUUUGACAUUGGUAGACAAUUUAGGUUCAUAUGUGGGUUUAGGAAUAUCUCUAUUAUGACGGUGUGGAAACCGUUUUGUGAAUGGAUUAGGUUCCAAAUUAAGAACACCCUCAACAGACGACGAUUGGUUUGGUAUUUCAGUGAAGGCAUCUUUAGACCCAAAUUGCUCGGAUGGUUCAAUUGUACUGUCUCUCCCCUCUUUUAUCACUUCUUCAGCUUCUGGGUGGUCAUUACUACCUGGUUCACCCGCUUCUUUAUUCACUAGUUUAGAUUGUCCAUAUUCAUCCUCCUUAGAGAUAUCAUAAUCGAGAGUCUGAAUUUCCUUAUAGUACUCCCCUUGAAGUUCAGACUCAAAUGAAAAAUACAUUGAAUCUUCAUGAAACACCACAUCCAUUGUAAUAAACAUUCGUCGAGUUGGAGGAUGAUAACAUCGAUAUCCCUUUUUGUGCAAUGCAUAUCCAACAAACACAUAUUGCAAUGCACGGGAAGUUAACUUGGUGCGUUGGUGUUUGUGUAGAUGCACAAAUGCCAUGCAACCAAAAACACGAGGAGGUAGAUUUGGGAUGGUUGGGGCAACUACAACAUUAGUAAGAGCUUGGAGAGGUGUUUGGAAGUCAAUUGAACUGGAAGGUACCCGAUUGAUCAAGUAUGUAGCAGAUAUGAUUGCUUCUCCCCAAUAAGAUAUCGACAUUUUUGCUGCUAUCAAGGAAGCAUGAACAACCUCUAACAAGUGCCGAUUUUUUCGUUCAACGACUCCAUUUUUCUGGGGUGUAUUGGAACAAGUAGUCUGAUGAAUGAUGUCAUGUCCUUCCAAAUACUUUUGAAGAUCAGAAUUAUGAUAUUCUCCACCAUAUCGCUACGCAGAACCCGAACCUUUGCAUUGUAUUGAGUUUCAAUCAUUUUAUGAAAAUUUUGAAACAACAAGUUCACUUCAUCUUUGGUCUUCAUCAAGCAUAACCAGGUCAUUCUGGUACAAUCAUCAAUAAAAGUAACAAACCAACGCGAGCCUCUCAAAGUUGGGACUUUGGAUGGGCCCCAAACAUCAUAAUGUAUAACCAUAAAAGGAAGCGGACUUUUAUUCAAAAUUAACGGAAACGAAGUACGAUGACUUUUAGCCAAUUCAAAAAUAUCUCAACGAAAACCAGAAAUAUCACUCAUUGCAAACAAAUUAGGAAACAAUUUUUUAAAAUAGCCAAAGGAAGCAUGUCCCAAGCGUCGAUGGCACAACCAAAUUUCAGACUUUUUCUCCUCCCCCUCAAAUCCAUCUAUCAUCAAGGCUUGUCGUAAUUUAUUGGAAUCCUUUGACUGCAAGUCCAAGUAAUAGAGUUUUUCCACUUAAUACCACAACCAAUCGUCUGUCUUGUUUGGAUGUCCUUAAAAACACAAAAUUCAGGCCAAAAAAUGACAAUACAAGAUAAUGCUGCAGUGAUUUGAGAAAUUGACAAAAAAUUGUAAUCUAAAGAUGGAACAACUAAAAUAGAAUCCAAAUUCAAAGUAUCAGUAAGAGUUAAGGAUCCUUCCCCAAUGACUGGGGUUGUGUUACCAUUGGCUGUGGAAAUAAUUUUUUGUGAGGAAGGUAUAAGGGGUGAGACCUGUCUAGAAUCAAAAGUCAUAUGAUCUGUAGCACCAGAAUUAAUUAUCCAUGCACUAUUAAUAACAGGUGUAGAAGUAUUCAAAAACUUACCAUCAUAAUCUAUAUUGGCUACCAAUGCAGAGACAUUCUCAGUAACAUUAGCCUCUGUUUUUAUUUCGGCAAUAGCUGCAGUCGAGGUUUUCUUGGAAUUCUUCUUCCGUUGAUCACGAUUAUGAUCCCACCAGUCUGGAUAUCCCACAAUUUCAAAGCAACAACUCUUGGUAUGACCAGUCUUAUUGCAGUGAGUGCAUUUGAAGGUUGACUUAUCAAUAUUAGGGCCCGUCUUAGGAUGGUUGGUCUUGGAUUGGUCCUGCCAAUUCUGGGUUGAUCGCUGUCGGACUACCAUAGAUGAGGUGUCAGGAUUGUCAUAUUAUGUUUUCAUACUAGCAUGACGCACUGCCUCUCGUCGAAUCAGUGCAUAGCAUUCUUCCAAAUUGGGAAGAAGAUCUUUGCGUAGAAUCUCUCCUCGAACUUGCUCAAAGUCACCAUCCAAUCCAGCAAGAAAGAUGUGCACCCAUUGUUGUUCAAUGGAUUUCCGAUAUGUUGUAAUGUCAUCAGGGUCUUUCAUGACCACCUUAUCCCGAUGAUCCAAUUCGCAAAAAAUCUCAGUUAACUCUCCGUAAUAUUCAGAAAGAGACCUGCCGCUUUGUUUGGAAGUGAAUACUUUUUUUAUUCAAAGUGAAAACUUGUAAUUCAUCGCUUCCAUCAUAGAAGACAUUUGAUAAUGCACUCCAAAUUUCUUGAGCGGUGGGUAAGCGUAAGUAACACUUCAUAAUUUCUUGACUCAUGGACAUUAACAACCAUUUCUUCACCUUUUGAUUCUCAGCAUACCAUUUUUCAUAUCUAUCUUCUGACUCUUUUGGUGGAUUUGUUUUACCUCGAAUGUAGGAAAGUUUUUCCCGUUCAACAAUAUGCAUCUUCAUAAGUUGUGACCAAACGUCAUAGUUUGAUUCAAUCAAAAUAAUUCCUAGAUUAAAAGUACCUUCAGAUUGAAAAAUAAUAGUAUUUUUUUCACUUUUUUUUUUUUUUUGAUGAUUAAAUAUAAUAUAUAUUCAACUGGUGAUGUAGGAAGAAAGUGACAAAAAAUAGGGGACCCUAAAUAGAAAGAAAGAUUUUUCAAGAAAAUCAAAUAAUAGAGAAAAAAAUAGUAGAAGACACUGAAAGUACAAAUAAGCAUGCCAGGUUGUAGGACAAUGUCAGUUUUCCGGCAACUGUCCAAGAUUUCAGUUCCAUGGCUUUGAUACCAUCUUCAAAUUAAUGAAUGAGGUUUUUUUUUUUCUCAUUCAUAUUUUUAUUCAUUCAUGUACAGAGUAUAUAUAAAGGGUAAUCAUCAUUCUAAGAAUGGGAAAAAAUGAUACAAGGAAUGAAUGAUAUAAGGAAACAAUGAUACAAGGAAAGGAAUGACAUAAGGAAAGAAUGAUACAAGGAAAGUAUUCCUAAUAUCUCAACAACUGGUAUAUCACUUUUGACGAUAAAAGGAAUUUUAGUUAAAAGUGAGGUUAAUUGCUCUAUUGUAAUGAUAUGAUAUAAAAUGUCUCUUUGAUGGAAAAAAUUGAAAAUUGAGUUCAUAGAAUUUAGUCUGAAAAUUAUUGAAAAAUGUCUCAAAUUCUUAAUUAAUAAAAAUUUAUUUUUACACAGAAUAUUAUAUAAAAUAUUUUCUAAAUUAAUACAUCAUUGUAAUAUUAUAUUAUUUUAUAGAAUAAACAAAGUUAUUAGAAAUAUCUUAAUAAAUAUUUUAGGUUAAGAAAAGAAAAAGUUAAUAAGAUAAAUAUGAGCUUUUAGAGACUACACAUUGUUUUAUCUUAGUAUCGGAAGGCCAGGUUGCGGAGAAGUUGAACAUGGAUAAAGCAUAUGGGCUGGCCUUACAAUGAGCCGCCCCACUAAUGGUGCACCCACAGCCGAGGCUGUCACCCCAAGGUUUCGGGAAGUAAAUGAGGUUGUUUUCCCAUGAUUAAAACAGAAAACUUGAUGAUGGAUUUGGCUGAAUAAUUAUGACGUUGGAGAGCGAUGGAGUGUAGUAGUUUCGUGAUGGGUUUUCCCUCAGCCACGUGGACGUUAAUAUUGUAAACGUUGACUCUGAAGGAGCUAUCUAAUAAUGCAAUAUGUCGGAUUAAAAAUUAAAUUAUUUACCCCACAAUAUGAAUGUCGAGCGUAGGAGAAGAAAGUCAUAUGAUGAAUAUGAAGGCAUCACAAUCUAAAGAGUCGUGCAAUGCGGCGAGUGAAUAUGACCAAUAAAAGCACGAAAACUGAACGGGAGUCGCUUCAUCUGUCCUGCAUUCAUUUACAUUCUUUGCCCCAUUGGUUAAGAAUCCGUCCUGUUCUAGGAAAAUUUUUCCCAUCAUUUCGAAUGUCUUCCCAUUUAAAUAUGAAAUUUUGAAUGGUCGUGUAUGAUUUUUUUCUUACUAGCCAUUAUUUUGAGAAUAAUACAAGUUUGACCAACACAACUAUGUCUUUUUUCCUCAUAAUAAAUUUCCAAUCUUGAUUCAUUAUAAUUUUUUAAUGAAAUAAUUCAAAAAAACUACAUACAAGUUGUUAUACAUCUUGCUCAUGUGUGUAAAAGGAAAGAGAUACAUCCUUGUUUUUCAACUAUUAAAAUGAUAUCCUUGGGCCAAUUCUUUCAUUACGUCUGAAUAUUUUGGGAGAAUUGUGGAACCAUUUUGAGACAGUGAAUUUAAAUAGCAUUUUUAAUAUUUUAAAAAAUUAUUAUUAAAAACGUUUUUUAAUAUCCAUUUUUUCAACAUCAGGACCAAGAACGCAAAAUAAAAUAUAAUUUUCCCUACUUGCUACCAAAGAUUUUGGUUGAUUAUUUUUCUGAUAAUAAAUAAUAUUUUAUUUUGCGUUCUUGGUCAAAAAAUGGAUAUUAAAAUAUAUAUAAUUUUUCAGCUACAACAGCGCGCACGGAGCACGCUCUUAGUUAGAACACACUUGUACCCGUCAUCUUUGAUUUAGCUAACCCCGAAUCUCCCUUUAUAUUCCUCUCUGGAUUCAGGAGCCGAGACUCAGAGAUAAGCCAAGAAGCCAUGAAUCCCCUGGCGCUGAUUUUCUGCACGGCUCUCUUCUGCAUUCUCCUCUACCACUUCCUCACGCGCCGCUCUGUCCGCCUCCCUCCGGGGCCCAAGCCAUGGCCGAUUGUGGGGAACCUCCCUCACCUGGGCCCCGUCCCUCACCACUCCAUUGCUGCGCUCGCUAAAACCUACGGCCCUCUCAUGCAUCUCCGUAUGGGCUUCGUCGACGUCGUGGUGGCCGCCUCCGCCUCCGUUGCCGCUCAGUUCUUGAAAACUCAUGAUGCUAAUUUCUCCAACAGGCCUCCUAAUUCAGGUGCCAAGCAUAUCGCCUACAACUAUCAGGAUCUGGUGUUCGCUCCCUACGGCCCCCGGUGGCGCAUGCUCCGCAAGAUUUGCUCCGUCCACCUCUUCUCUGGCCAAGCCUUGGAUGAUUUUCGCCAUAUCCGACAGGUACCUAGCUUAAUCUCUCUCAGAAAUGAAUCCUUUCUCAAUUUUAAUCCAUUUUUCGUUUUUUCUUCCUGAUCGCUUCUAUUAUUUCAUCGCAAAUUAAGAUCUGGUUACACAGAUUUCAUUUUUCCAUAAAAACAUGUAAGAAAAUAAUAGCAUGUGUUCACCAUCAUUGUCUAGUCCUGUCAGAGUAUUUGCAGUCUCCACUCUCUCUGUAUACACUACACAUCUUUUUGAAGAAGGCCCGGCUCCACAAGUUUAUUAUUACUAUUUUUUUAAUGAUUUUUUUUAGUAAGGUUGUUUUCCUCCGGCAGUGGAAGUCCGUGCAUUCACGCGAGACUUUACCAUUUAAUAUUUAAAAUUAUAUUUUUUUAAUGUUUGUUUUAUAAAAAUACUGAACUGACAAAUGAGUUGCCGCUGAGUUUUAUCCAAUUUUGAUGAUUAGAAAAAUAAUCAGUAGAUGAAAAUUUAUGUGACGUACAGGAGGAGGUUUUGGCGCUAAUGCGCGCACUUGCGAGGGCGGGUCAAACGCCGGUGAAGUUGGGGCAGCUGCUGAACGUGUGCACUACCAACGCCCUAGGGCGGGUGAUGUUAGGCAGGAGAGUGUUCGGCGACGGCAGCGGAGGCGAAGAUCCGAAGGCCGACGAGUUCAAAGAGAUGGUGGUGGAGCUGAUGGUCCUGGCCGGAGUUUUCAACAUCGGCGACUUUGUGCCGGCGCUGGAAUGGCUGGACCUGCAGGGCGUAGCUUCCAAGAUGAAGAAGCUCCAUGCUCGGUUUGACGCUUUCCUGGGCGCCAUCGUGGAGGAGCACAAGAUCAGCGGCUCUGCUGGUUCCGAGCGUCACGUGGACUUACUCAGCACGUUGAUCUCGCUGAAGGAUAAUGCCGACGGUGAGGGAGGCAAGCUCACCGACGUUGAGAUCAAAGCCUUGCUCUUGGUAUCUCUCAUUAUCCAUUUUCUGUCACUGUUUCGUCUACUUCUUGUGGUAAUUUGGCACCUGAAAUUGAUGAAAACCGUCUGUUGACAUGGCAGAACUUGUUCACAGCUGGAACUGACACCUCAUCCAGCACAGUGGAGUGGGCCAUUGCAGAGCUCAUUCGCCACCCUGAAAUGAUGGCCCAAGCCCAACAAGAGCUGGACGCAGUGGUGGGCCGAGGCAGGCUUGUAACUGAUUUGGACCUGCCCAAACUUACCUAUCUCCAAGCCAUAGUCAAGGAAACCUUCCGCCUGCACCCAUCCACGCCCCUCUCCCUCCCUCGGAUGGCGGCGGAGAGCUGUGAGAUCAACGGCUACCACAUCCCCAAAAACGCCACUCUUCUAGUGAACGUGUGGGCCAUAGCGCGGGACCCAGAGGUGUGGGAGGAGCCACUAGAAUUCAGGCCCAACAGGUUCCUCCCAGGAGGGGAAAGACCAAAUGCGGACGUGAGAGGGAAUGAUUUUGAAGUGAUUCCAUUCGGGGCUGGCCGGAGAAUAUGCGCGGGGAUGAGCUUGGGACUGAGGAUGGUGCACCUGUUAACCGCGACGCUUGUUCAUGCGUUCAACUGGGAGUUGCCGGAAGGCCAGGUGGCGGAGAAGCUGAACAUGGAUGAGGCAUAUGGGCUGACCCUACAACGAGCCGCCCCACUCAUGGUGCACCCACGGCCAAGGCUGUCACCCCAAGUUUUCGGGAAGUAAAUGAGGUUGUUUGCCCAUAAUUAAAGUAGAAGACUUGGUGAUGGAUUUGGCUGAAUAAUUAUGAUGUUAGAGAGCGAGUGUAGUAGUUUUGUGAUGGGUUUUCCCUCAACCACCUGCAUGUUAAUACUGUAAACGAUGAUUCUCAAGGGGUAUCUAAUAAUGCAAUAUGUUGGUUUAAAAUUUAAAAUAUUUACUUCACAAUAUCGAGCGUAGGAGAAGAAACUAGAAAGUCAUAUGAUGAAUAAUGUCCCCAAAACUCAGGGAAGAAGGAGUAGCUUCAUCUGUCAUCUGACCAACAAGCCUCCUCACAAAAAACCAUAUAACAAGUCAAAGGUAGUAUAUAUGAUUUAUUGGAUGAGAAGUAGAGGCUCCAAACAUUGAUAUCUUUAAUACCCCACCUUUCAAACAAAGAUACCUGAAAAUGUAUAAAAAUAAAUAAAAAAUAAAAAUAAAAAUCACUUCAUCCGAACCAGGACUAUAAAAGAAGAAGACCUCCUUGACUGACCUGUGUCUAAAAAGACGAGUCCAAUUACCCUUAUCCUUAUAUGCUCAAAAGUCAAUAAAGCCUACUCACAUACCGUAAAAAGUGUAUUGACCUAUCAGAUAACCAGAUUGAUCGACUUGUGUCUAAAAAGACGAGUCCAAUUACCCUUAUUCUCAUAUGCUCAAAAGUCAAUAAAGCCUACUGACAUGCUGUAAAAAGUGUGUUGAAACCACUCCUUCAUAAAGAAAGUGACUUUAAAAGAGAAGUCUCUUCCUCCUCAAGGCUCUCUCUCUUUUAAAGAUGUAGAAAAUGCAUCUUUGUAUCCAAAAUGAUUGAAUAAAAUAUCCAAUAUGUUUCUUGAAGAAUUUUAGCAUAUUCAAGAAGCAUCACAACUCUUAAUAGAUUUGAUUAUCACUAUAAUGAUUGAAAUAGAACCUCUAGAUGUGUUGUGAUCAUGAAUGCUUAAAUAUAGUAAUUUUUAUUUAUUUUUAAAAUAAAUAAUAAAUUAAUUAAUUUAAUCUUAUAUAUUCUCUAGAUCAUGUGGUAUCUUUUAAUUUUUUUAAUAUUAAUUUUUUUACAAAUUAAUUAUCAAAUUUAUAAAAACCCCAUGAAUAAUUGACUAAAUCAAUUCUUCCCUAGCUUUCAAUAUCUUUCAUAAAUAGGUAAUUUUUGAAAAUAUUAAAGAGUAGCGUGGAAACUAAUUAUUAAUCUAAUUACAAUAUUAAAUAAAUUAAAAUUAGAUAUUUUUGAAAUUCAUGUACCAUGUAGUUAUUUUUUCAUAAAUAAAUUCUUAUUCGUAAUUACUAAUUUGCAUUAAUAAAAAUUUAUAACAUUACUUAUAUCAUUGUAAUAAAUUUAAAAAAAGUGGACUUGUCACGUUCAUUUCUUUCUCUCUCAAUAUAUUGUUAAAUACAUAAAUUAAUAAUAUUUAUUAAAAUGAUAUUUGCAAGUUGGGGGUGGGAUGAGAACUCGUGUUGGGAUUUUUGAUCCUAAAGGUCUAAUUGAAGGGAUUUUGAAAAAAAAAACAUUUAUUAAAGUAUAUCACUUUUAAAACUAUUUUCAAAUCUACUAUAUUUUUUAUAAUAUCAAUUAAAAAUUGUCUUUUUAAAAAAACCAACUUUAAUUCAAAUAUGAAAAUUAUUUUUUGAAAAGAUAAUUUUAAAAUUCAACUAAGUUGUCUCUUCAAAAAGCAACUUUUACUUUUAAGUUUUUGAAAUUACUAUACAUUUGGAAGUAGUUUCAAAAGUGCGAUAUUUUAAUAAAUAUUUUUUAAAAUUGCAAUAGUUUUUUCAAAAUCUUGACACUUAAGAUAGAGAGUGGGCAAGCAUGAGAAAAAAAAUUACAUACACUCAGAUUUAUGUCGUAGACUAGGAACUGAAAAAUUGUGGGGCAUAUGGGGCAUAUGGAUCAUACAAAAACAAUUAUCUUACUUAGUGUUACUUAUUAUUACUUAAGCAUUAAUUAAAAGGAAGUGUUAAGGUAUGCAAGUAUCCAAAUGCUAGAUAUAGAACUUCAAAUUCGGUCCAUUAAAUUGAAUAAAAAUACAAAAUCUAUAUAAUGAUAUUUAAGUAAUGAAGAUUCAAACAAAUAAGAUCAUAGUGUAAGAAUACGAAUAAAUGAGAUUACGAUACAAAUGAUAACAUUUGAAAAUGUAUACCUAAGACCAUUUUAUUGAGUUUUUUCGUACAUUUAUUUGAGCUUAGGAUUGUAGAUGGUGCAUGAUGGGAAGUGUCACAAAUUCCUAAUUAGUAAAGAUUGGGAGAUACUCAAUGAAGCGAGAUGACUCGUGGUUCUAAGUGUGAAUACAAGGAGUGAAAAAAUGUUUUGAGAACCCAAUAAUUAUAUCUGGUUUUGUUCUCUAUAAUGUUAUCUAUGAUAUAAUUGAAAGAUUUUCUCUCGUGUGUGAAUAUAUGAAUAAUUGACCAAACCACGUUAAAAUCUCGUGUAAUCUAACAUUGCUUAUAUUAAAGCUUUUGUUAGCGUAACAAACUUGUAUAGGACUUUUGAAGAUAAAAAGAAUUUUAGUUAAAAGUGAAGUCAAUUGCUCUAUCGUGUUGAUAUGGUAUAACAAGUCUGUCUCAUGGAGAGAUUGAAAAUUGACUUCAUAGGAUUUGAUAUGAAAAUUAUUGAAAAAUAUCUCAAAUUCUUAAUUAGUAAAGAUUCAUUUUUACAUAGAAUAUCAUAUAAAAUAUUUUCUAAGUUAAUACAACAUUGAAAUAUUAUAUUUUUUUUUAUAGAAUAAACAAAGUUAUUAAGAAUAUUUCUAUAAAUAUUUUAGAUUAAGAAAUGAAAAAGUUAUGAGAUGAAAAUGACCUUUUAGAUACUACACAUUGUUUUAUCUUUGUGUCGGAAGGCUAGAAGGCCAGAUUGCGGAGAAGUUGAACAUGGAUAAAGCAUAUGGGCUUGUAGGGAAUUAAACCGAAUUCCCAACCCGUGAGAAACAAAAAAAAUUAGAGAAAACACACGCCAAAGAAAAACAAUCACACACACAAGACAGUAUUUACGUGGUUCGGCAAUUUGCCUACAUCCACGGAGUUGCAGGGAUAUCACUAUUAUCAGGGAAGAAUACAGGGUACAACCUGGCGGCUACAAUAUUCUCUAUAUAUAUAUAGCACGGCAACACUACCAUACUAAAAAACCCUAAUUACAAAGGGUGGUUCCACAAUGGGCUAAACGAGCCCAACAGGCCUCAAUAAAUCUCCCAUUAAAAAAGUCAUGCAAUAUUAUUCGGGUCGGGUCGUCAAACCAGAUCAAACAAAACUAGGCUCCACAAAGCCCAACAAAUCUCCCACUUGGAGACUAGUCCAAUCACCAACAUCAAACCGCUAUCCUCCAAGAAACGAUCCCUCAUCCCUACAACUCAUCCUCCUGUCCUCAAGCUAGAAGACCAAUUGAAGUUGCGCACAGCUUCAACUUCUCAAUAGUGACACCCUUAGUCAACAUGUCUACAGGGUUUUUAGAUUCACAAAUCUUCUCAAGUAUUACCAGUUUAUCCUCAACAAGAUAACGGAUAAAGUGAUAUUUUGUUUGUAUAUGUUUCGACUUUGAAUGAAAAGCCGAAUUUUUUGCAAGAAAAAUUGCACUCUGACUGUCACUGUGUAGAAUGCCCAUCUCUUGCUUCUUACCCAAUUCAUCUAAGAAACCAUGUAGCCAAAUCAUCUCCUUUCCAGCUUCAGUUGCUGCAACAUACUCAGCUUCUGUAGUAGACAAAGUAACAAUCUUCUGUAGAUUUGAAGUCCAUAAUAUAGCUGUACCACCUAGAGUAAAAACAAACCCAGUAGUACUCUUUCUAUUAUCAAUAUCACCAGCAAAAUCAGCAUCUACAUAACCCUGUAGUUUCAAACUUGCACCUGUGAAGCAAAGACAUGUAUCUAAUGAACCCUUCAGAUAUCUUAAAAUCCACUUGACUGCCUCCCAAUGCUGCUUUCCAGGCCUACUCAUGAAUCUGCUCACAACUCCCACUGCAUGUGCAAUGUCUGGCCUUAUACACACCAUAGCAUACAUCAAGCUGCCAAUAGCUGAGGCAUAGGGCACCUUGCUCAUAUGGUCCCUUUCUUCUUCUGUCUUUGGUGACUGUUCUUUGCUUAGUUUGAAAUGACUACCCAAGGGUGUGCUCACUGGUUUAGCUUCAUUCAUGUUGAACCUGCUGAGAACUUUCUUCACAUACUCUGACUGUGAAAGCUUCAAUGUACCAUUAGCUUUGUCUCUAAUGAUUCUCAUACCAAGGAUUUGCCUUGCAGCUCCCAAAUCCUUCAUUGCAAACUGUUUGGACAAUUGCUUCUUCAGAUUAUUAAUCUUCUCAAUGUCAGACCCUGCAAUAAGCAUAUCAUCCACAUACAACAGUAAUAUGAUGUAAGAAUUGUCAAAGAACUUAAUAUAGCAAUAGUGAUCAGCUUCACAUCUCUUGAACCCAAUUCUAUGCAUAAAAUUGUCAAACUUCUUGUACCACUGUCUAGGAGCUUGUUUAAGGCCAUACAAGCUUUUUCUCAGUUUGCAGACUAGAUUCUCUUGUCCCUGAACAAUGAACCCUUCUGGCUGAAUCAUGUAAAGGUCUUCCUCCAAGUCACCAUGAAGGAAUGCUGUCUUCACAUCUAACUGCUCAAGAUGUAAGUUUUCUGCAGCCACCAUUCCAAGUACAAGUCUAAUUGUUGACAUCUUCACAACUGGAGAAAAUAUCUCUGUGUAGUCGAUGCCCUCCUUCUGCUGGAACCCUUUAACAACUAAUCUGGCCUUGUAACGUUUGCUACCAUCAUGCUCAUUCUUUAUUCUGUAUACCCACUUGUUGUGUAAAGCCUUCUUUCCUACUGGCAAUUCAGUCAGUUCCCAUGUCUGAUUCCCCAACAGGGAAUCCAUCUCAUCCUUCAUGGCUAACUCCCACUUGCUUGAAUUCUCAUCUUGCAAGGCUUCAUCAUAACACUCUGGCUCACCACCAUCAGUCAACAGGAGAUAAUUUAAAACAGGUGAAUAACGCUGCGGAGGUCUAGUGUUCCUAGAAGAUCUGCGAACUUCAACUACAGGUGUACUCAGAUCUACCUGUGAAUUUACAUUCUCCUUAUCUUCUUCACCCCCUUUUUGGACAGUACUUUCAGUCAAUUCAUCUAAGUUGACAAACUCAGAUUUCUUUUGAUCUAUCUCUGUAACAUCUGACACUACAGAUGACCUGUCUUUGUACAUAACCUGUUCAUUAAAUAUUACAUUUCUAUUUCUGAUGAUUUUCCUGUUUUGUUCAUCCCAAAACCUAUAGCCAAAUUUCUCAUCACCAUAGCCAAUGAAAAAACAUAUUUUUGACUUUGCAUCAAGUUUACUACGAGCAUCAGAAUCAAUAUGAACAUAAGAAAUACAACCAAAAACUUUUAAAUGUGAAAACUUCACCUCUUUACCGCUCCAAACCUCCUCAGGAAGUCUGAACUCCAUGGGAACUGAUGGUCCUCGGUUUAUCAGGUAAGCUGCAGUGCUAACAGCAUCAGCCCAAAAAGUUUUUGGUAGUCCAGCAUGCAACCUCAUACUUCUAGCACGCUCAUUGAGAGUUCUGUUCAUGCGCUCAGCCACACCAUUCUGCUGUGGUGUCCCAGGAAUGGUCUUCUCCAUCCUAAUUCCCUGUGCAGCACAAUACUCACUGAAUCCUCCAUCUAUGUACUCUCCUCCAUUAUCUGACCUCAAACAUUUUACUUUCAAACCUGUUUCUGUCUCAACCAUGGCCUUCCACUUCUUAAAAGUUACAAAUACAUCAGAUUUAUUUUUCAGAAAAUAAACCCAUACCUUUCUACUUGAGUCAUCAAUAAAGGUGAUGUAGUACCUUGAACCUCCUAGGGAUGCAACCGGAGAAGGCCCCCACAAAUCAGUGUGUACUAGUUCCAAUUUUUCAGCCUUCGGUGUCCUGCCAGUUUUCAAGAAGCUCACCUUUUUUUGCUUUCCUAAGAUGCAACUUUCACACAUGUCAAAAUCAAUGGACUUCAAUUCUGGUAGUUUUCCUUUUGACAACAACAUCUUCAUCCCUUUCUCACUCAUGUGACCAAGUCUGCGGUGCCAUAGGCUUGUAUCAAUACUUGCAUCAGCAACUGCAAUUGUGUCUCUUGGACAUGAGGUCAUAUACAGAGUGCCAGUCUUCUUUCCACGAGCCAAUACCCUAGCUCCCUUUGUAACCUUCCAAGUACCACCAACAAAUAGUAUUGCAUGUCCUUCAUCAUCAAGUUGUCCAACAGAAAUCAGAUUCCUCCUCAGGUCAGGAAUAUGUCGAACCUUCUCUAGUAACCAAACAGACCCAUUGGGCAACGAUAUCCGGACAUCUCCCAGACCCACAACAUCCAAGGCUGAACCAUCAGCCAAAUACACCUUACCAAAAUCACCUGCAACAUAAUUCUGUAUGAUUUCUCGGUGUGGAGUGGUAUGAAACGAAGCUCCUGAAUCCAAAACCCAAUCAUCAAGUGGACUGUCUACUGCAAGAAGUAAUGCAUCCUGUACCUCUUCUGUUACAGCAUUAGCAGAAUCAUCUUCAUUCUUCUUCUUAGGGCUUUUGCAUUGCCUUUUAAAGUGACCUGUUUUCCCACAAUUCCAGCAUUGUACUUGUUGGCCUGAUCUAGAUUUGCUUCUGUUCCGAUUAGAAUUUCUGGAAUUUGAUCUACCCUGAUUUGAAUUUCUGUUAUUACCUCUGCCUCUUGUCUCAAGGUUUAGGGCAGAACCAGAUCCUGAGGUUUCACCUGCAUCUCUUCGGCGAAUCUCCUCAGCCAGAAUUAAAUCUCGUAUAUCAUUGUACUUGAGCUUUUCCUUUCCCGUAGAAUUGCUUACUGCCAUCCUCAUUGCCUCCCAACUAUUUGGCAAAGAAGCCAAGACGAUCAGAGCACGAAUCUCAUCAUCAAAAUCAAUUUCUACAGACGACAAUUGAUUUGUGAUUGUAUUAAAUUCAUUCAGAUGUUGUGCUACUGAUGCAUUCUCUGCCAUCUUCAAAUUGAACAAUUUUGUCAUCAGAUGCACCUUAUUGUUUGCGGACGGCUUUUCAUACAUACCGGACAAAGCCUUCAUCAGAUCUGUUGUGGUCUUCUCCUUUACAACAUUGUGUGCAACAGACCUAGACAGAGUUAACCUAAUAACUCCUAGAACCUGUCUGUCAAGAAGCGCCCAUUCCUCAGCCUUCAUACUCUCAGGUUUUGUCCCCAAAAGAGGCAGAUGUAAUUUCCUCCCAUAGAGAUAAUCUUCAAUCUGCAUCCUCCAAUACGCAAAGUCUGUGCCAUCAAACUUUUCUAUUCCAGACGCCUUUCCUGCUUCCUCUGCCAUUGCUCCCACUCAAACCUAACCCUAGGCUCUGAUACCAGUUGUAGGGAAUUAAACCGAAUUCCCAACCCGUGAGAAACAAAAAAAAUUAGAGAAAACACACGCCAAAGAAAAACAAUCACACACACAAGACAGUAUUUACGUGGUUCGGCAAUUUGCCUACGUCCACGGAGUUGCAGGGAUAUCACUAUUAUCAGGGAAGAAUACAGGGUACAACCUGGCGGCUACAAUAUUCUCUAUAUAUAUAUAUAGCACGACAACACUACCAUACUAAAAAACCCUAAUUACAGAGGGUGGUUCCACAAUGGGCUAAACGAGCCCAACAGGCCUCAAUAAAUCUCCCAUUAAAAAAGUCAUGCAAUAUUAUUCGGGUCGGGUCGUCAAACCGGAUCAAACAAAACUAGGCUCCACAAAGCCCAACAGGGCUGACCUUACAACGAGCCGCCCCACUAAUGGUGCACCCACAGCCAAGGCUGUCACCCCAAGGUUUCGGGAAGUAAAUGAGGUUGUUUUCCCAUGAUUAAAAUAGAAAACUUGAUGAUGGAUUUGGCUGAAUAAUUAUGACGUUGGAGAGCGAUCGAGUGUAGUAGUUUCGUGAUGGGUUUUCCCUCAGCCACCUGGACGUUAAUAUUGUAAACGUUGACUCUCAUGGAGCUAUCUAAUAAUGCAAUAUGUCGGCUUAAAAUUUAAAUUAAUAACCCCACAAUGUCAACGUCGAGUGUAGGAGAAGAAAGUCAUAUGAUGAAUAUCCUCAAAACUCAUAAGGAGAUCGGCGAAGAAGCCAUCACAAUCUAAGGAGUCGUGCAAUGCGGCAAGUGAAUAUGACCGUGUGCCAACGACCAAUAAAAGCACGAAAACUGAACAAGACGGGAGUAGCUUCAUCUGUCAUGCAUUCAUUUCACAAACCGGUCGGCCCCUCACGUGCGCUAUGCCAAAGCUGAGCUGACCCACCGGCCUCCUCACAAAAAACCCAUACUCCAACUUCAGCAGAGCGCGCAUGUUGUGGCGUAUGCCGAUGGUUACCGAUCCAUAUACAUUCUUUAUCCUGCCGCCUUUGAUGAAAAAUUACAUAGGUUAAGAAUCCGUCCUUAAUGUCUACUCGUUCUUGGAAAAAUUUUCCCAUCAUUGCGAAUGUCUUCCCAUUUAAAUAUGAAAUUUUGAAAUUUUCUUUCAUUUCAUUUUCAUAUAUUUUGAAGCUUCAUGGUCGUGUAUGGUUUUUUCUUACUAGCCAUUAUUUUGAGAAUAACACAAGUUUGAACAACACAACUAUGUCUUUUUUCCUCAUUCGCGUAACGAAAUAAAUUUCCAAUCUUGAUUCAUUAUAAUUUUUUAUUACUCAUUUCUCUACGAAAAUAAUUCAAAAAAAUAUUCAAUUAAAAAAACUACAUACAAGUUUUUAUGCAUCUUGCUUAUGCGUGUAAAUGGAAAGAGAUAGAUUCUUGUUUUUCAACUAUUAAAAUGAUUUCCUUCGACCAAUUGUUUCACCACGUCGUAGGAAAAAUAUGGAACCAAUUUUGAGAUUGAUAACCCAUUUGAUAGUGAUUUUAAAUAAUAUUUUUAAUAUUUAAAAAAAUUUAUUAUUAAAAAUAUUUUCUAAAAUUACUAUCAAACGUAUUCUAAUUAAUUUAGUAACCCAUCUUUUCAACAUUAGGAUUAGGAACUCAAAAUAAAAUAUAAUUUCCCCUACAUGCUACCAAAGGUUUUGGUUUGAUUAUUUUUCAUUUUCAGUGAUAAUAAAUUAUAUAUAUAUAUAUAUAUUUAAAAAAACACACAUUAAUUAAAGAAAAGUUCAAGACAUUUAAUUAAUGAUUUAUUGAUGGAUAGAAGCAUAAAGCAUCUAUAAAUAGAAAAAUUCACACAAAUUUUUAUCCACCUUAAACAAAUAUUAAAUUAUAAAGAUAUAUAUAUAUAUAUAUAUAUACAUAUAUAUAAUAAAUGGAUAAUAAUUAUUUUAAUAAAUAAUGUAAUGAUGAAAUUGGUAAUAUAUAUAUAUUAAAAAAUGAUAAUAAUCUAUUAAAAAUAUAAAAGAUAGAUAUUAAUAUCUUAAUAGAUGAUAAGUAUUAAUAAUAUUUUAUUUAAAAUAAUAAUAAAAUCGAGAUGUUGCAUUUGGGAAGAUGGGUGAGUCUGUAGGGUAGAAAAAAUAAAUGAUUUAAAAAAAAUGAAAAACUGAGAUUACAAGUAAAUAGAAAAGGCAUUUUUGAAGGUUAGUAUUUUUAUACGUCAUUUUUUUUUCAAUAGGUACUAAAGCCACCACAAAUCAGGUAAUGUCACAUAUACAAUUUUAAGUCUUAUCGUUUAUACCUUAGUCCUAUUUAUUUGUAUUUUUGAAAUCAAUGCUCCAUACAUGAUAUCAAUGCAUGAAACUGUAUACAGAUGACAAGUUUUUCUUCUGGUAUUGCAAUUUAACUUACAAUCAUCCUUCAUACUUAAUAGAUGACUGAAACACAGACUAAUAAAUAGUAUUCCAAAAUGAAGGCAACUGAGCAGUAACUGUAUUACUCUUUAUAUCAACCAAGAUGGCAUUAAAUCUCUUCAAAAAACUAGGUAUCUGACAUGUAAAUGGAGAGAUUAGAAGCUAGGGAACUGAAGAGCAAUUGGUUUGGCCACUCUUUUCAUUCUAGGGGAAUAAUUAGUAGUACCUGGAAAUACUGUUUUGUCUCUUGGUGUUGAUGAAGAAGGUGAGGUUCGAUGUUAAAUUUACAAAUACCUAUUAUUGGAAGCUUCAAAAUCUUGUGGUAUUUGGAUGUCUUGGGUCCAAAACUAGUCAAGAGUCCUGAUUACAGUUGCUGAGAUCCAUCAAGUUCUUCGAUGGAGUGCUCUUGUUCAAACCCAAUAUAACAAUCUGAAACUAAAAUCAGCUUCAUUCCCUGGAAAAAAAAAAAAGACAACAUUUUUAUCCAAUCAAAUCAGAGAAUUACCAGACAAUUGUAGAUUUCUGCUGCAGAGAAAAAGUAUCAUCACAAGAAAAUUUCUUAAAUCACAUCUAGUAACAGACAACUGUACCUAUUUACAAUGGUCCAAUUUUGGGGAACUCAGGUUUCUCUUGCCUUUUUUAAAUAAUAAUAAUAAUAACUUCACAAGUUUGAGUUUGUGGGGGUUUCUCUUUGUUUUUAGCUAAUGUUGGGUGUUUUUUCUGUUGUUCAGAUUGUGUAGGAAGGACCUCUCAUCCUUCUAGUGGUUUCUUUUGUUUUUUUUUUCUUUUCUUUCUCCUGUAUCUUUCCUUCUAUUAAUAUAUUUCUCUUCGUUUCUGAUAAAAAAAAAAUAAUAAUAAUAACAGACAACAGUACUCAUUUACAAUAGGGCAAUUUUGGUUUAUAAAAAUAAUAUUGAUGAUGAUGAUGAUGUUUCUCUUGCCUUUUUUAAAUAAUAAUAAUAACAGUAGUAACAGACAACAGUACUAGUUUACAAUAGGGCAAUUUUGGUUUAUAAAAUUAAUACUGAUGAUGAAUUUUAACCCUUCUUCAGUGAUUUUCUCCACCUCCGGGCAAAAAGGCGAAUGAAAUAAAACCUCUCCACCAUGUAUAAUUAAGGGUAUAAUUAUAGAGAAACAGAAGGAAAAAUGAUGAUGAAUUUUUAACUCUUCUUCAGUGAUUUUCUCCACCUCCAGGCAAAAAGGCAAAUGAAAUAAAACCUCUUUACUGUGUAUAAUUAAGGGUGAAGGUAUUAUAGAAAGAAACAGAAGGAAAAAACAAAACAAAGUAAAAACUGUAAGUUGGAAAUUAGAUGUGAAAGUACCUGGAGAUUGGUUGGAGUUGAUGAUGGUAACUUCAUGUGGGUGACUAAGCGGUCAGCAAAACUAACUCUCUUCAGAGCAAAGAGUUCGGAGGUUGAGGUGUUACCAAGAACCAGCCACCAAGCUUCGUUUUUGACCUGUAAAGAAGUGAUAGCUUAAUUGCAUUAUGGAUAAUGAUACUAAAACAAAGUGAACUUUUACCUUUGGGAAUCGAGGGGCAAAAGCUCUCAAGGAUUUCCGCUUGGAAUUCAUUCUUUCCAAUCUAAUAUUCAGAGUGGGAGACUUUCCACCAUUAGCGUCCUUUCUCUGAAGCUUUAAUAUCACACGAACAUGGGGGAAAUACUGCAGAUCCUGAGAAAAUGAUGAACAAAAUGCUCAGACAGAAACUAGUGGACAUGCCCAACUGUAAGGCAAGAAAACGGAAGCACAAUCCAUUUGACAGAAAAGCUAAUACAAAAAACAAAGAGAGGUGUGGUGCAGAUUUAGAUUUGAAAAGCUAAUAAAGUGAUUCCUGUCAAUCCAAAGAACUGACAGAAUCAGAUUGACACAACCAGCUUCCAAAUUUAGAUUUGAAAUUUGGAAAUACAGAAACCCAAGAGUCUGACAUAAUUCAACCACUUUCUGUUUUCUUUUUUGCGCUAAAAAAUAAUGAUAUAAUCAACUAGGCUCUUAUCUUGAAUGCAGUCUUAGAUCUGGAAUUUCACUUGAAUGCAGUCUUACAUCUGGAAUUUCCAAUCACUAUCUCAACAUGUUUUCUUGAAUUUUGAAAAUGAGAAAAAUAGAGAAGGCAAAGAAAAACAGGUUUCACACAUACAAAUUUUUAAAUCACAAUCAAACAGAAAACAAAAUUGCAUAAUCCUGAGGCUCACAUUGUGACUAAAGAGAAUAACCAUGAUACCCCCACACCAAGAUCACCACCACUAGUCUCCCCAAACAAAGAUCACCACCACUACUUUCCCCACACCACAAUCACCCCCGUCACAACCAUCAUCAUGACCACCUCCAGUCUCAUCCCUAAUAUCAUCUGAUGCAUUCAUCUGUUUUGUGUGUUUCAAAAGUAAUUGCUGCUGCUACCAAUUGACCAAACACACUAUUUUUCACAGGAAAUUUAAAGACAGCUACAAGUUCCUAGAGUUCUAGUUAUAGAAAUAGAAGACACAAUCCAUCCAGAUGGUCCCUUAAAUAUAGGAUUUUCCUUCGGAUCUUCAUCUGAUUUUUUCUAUUUGAAGAAUUGCUUCUACAAGGAAAACUUCAAAAACAAGCCCCAUCUUCACUUGCCCCUGACAGCCUAGGUUAUGAGUAUUCCAUGAUAUAAAUGCAUUUUGGAAUCUCAAAUAACAGUCAAAACACAUGCUUUAAAAAAAUGAAUUAACACCUGAAACUGAAGCAAUAGCCAAACAAAAUUUUUUCCAUACUCGAAAAGAAGAACAAGUGGCACAAUAUUUAAAAUUAUGAGGAACCAUUGACAUGUUCAUAUUAUCAUAAAUAAAUUAAAAUAUAAAUUAUUUUCUUCAAUGGCACAAAAAUCAAAUUAAUGAAGCUAAAUGGGAUGAUGCCUUGUGUGCAUGCACAGUCACAAGCUGUGUAUUGCCCCCAAGGAUCCAGGCCAAUGUGUUCCCAUCCAAAUAAUAUACAUGCUGCAUCUUUUUCAUGCACUUGAUCUGUGCCAUCUUUGUACCAUAUUUCUGUUCCUGUGAUGUCAUGUGCUCCUCCCUUCAUAAAUAUCAUUAGAUUCUUGGCAUGCCAUAUCCUUCUAUUGACUCUCGCUAAUUGUUUUGGCUCAUGAUGCAAAAGAAUAGGUUUGUAGGGAUGCGUGACUUGAAUCCUUCCAUGAGCUGCCACUAUGAGGAUAUGAACUUCAAAAGCUAACAACUGGGUACAAUGGUUUCACACCCUACAGUGGUGGAUCAAGAACUAAUACCAAUAUAUUAUUGAGGGUCAUCAAAACUGAUUAUGGGUAUUAUUUGAUCAAACAGGUAACCUUAAUUCAACUAUAUGUUAAAAACCUUUCAUCACUAAAGUAUCAUGCAGUGUCAGGAAUGUAAACUUUGAAACCAUUCUCAUGCACCUUUGAAACUCCAACCUCAGAAAUAAAAUUUAUCUCAGAAUCAUUGUAAGUGUUUUUGGUGAAAUUUCGACACAUGUUCCAUACGGAUUGAGUUGAAAGAAUGCAGGAUGACUUUCUUUCACAUUAAUGCAGAGAUGAAGAUAAUUUCAUGUUCAAGAAAUGUAUGAAAAAAAAUACUAAAAAAAAACCUUGCGAAAUAUCAGAGAGCAAUCCAAACCUGAUAUAAUCUUGAAGCAGGGAAAUUAUUAAUCAAAGCCUGCAAAGUUGCCUUGGGAAGAUCUAACAGUUGCUGCACUUUUGAGAUUCCUCUUCUGGUCAGUGAACCCUCAAGUUCAUUAGUCAUGCAGGGCAACAUCCAUAGGCAAGAAGUCUCACUAAACCAUAAACCCUGAAAGUAAAGGAGGAAUAAUAAAUGGAGUAACAAAGAUAAGAGUGUGUUUCCUUCUGAGCAAGCAGGAAUGUUUAUGAAUACUGGAGAUAAUUUUUCACCAAUUCAGCCACAGUUGCAUUUGAAACACAGCAAACUAAAAAACUGUGUAUUUUUCUCCCUAACAUGCUGUGUAGCAAAAAUGUGGCUCCUGUUUACAGGUCAAAUAGUUAUCUAUGACAAUCUCCACUAAAAAAGAACGCAAUAAGGUGUAAGUUACAUUAUCCUAGUGUGUCCUUGGUGCAGUGGUUCAUGAAUCUACAUCCACUUAACUUUUAGUUCAACCCAACUAUGAAAAUUAUUCAAGAGGCUUCAGUUCUCAUGCUGGUUGGACUUUUCCAUGAAAGAUGUGUUGGUUGGGUGACAAGCUGCAUGAACAUGCAGACUUUCUCUGGAAGGAUAGAUUGCAAAGGGCCAACUAGAUGUGCUGGGCGCUAAGUCCACAGAUAGUCAGAUGAAGAAGGCAAAACUAUGGUACAUGUCAUAAUUACGAUUCUAACAUGUGAUUAAUAACCUGACUUUGACUGAGAUUGAAGAAGCUAGUAACACUUUGUCAAGGAAUGUCUGAAAUUUAAUAUCACAGGCCAGAACAACCUGGAAUAUAAGUGCUAAGGUAGCAUAAUGAUGAAUGACUAGUGCUGAUUUUGAAAAGCAUACUUUUGGGCUCAAUUUGAGCCAAUAGGUACCAAUGCUUAUAAAAUUUGGACAUGGAAUGUGAUUUCAAGGGAUAUACCAGGUUCGAAUUCAUGGCCUAACUAAGAAAGACCACAACUUCAGAUUUAUUUCUCAUUUCUGGAAUAUAUUUUAGUACCUGCUAGGAAGGGGAUUUACAUUCUCCUUGUCUCUUUGUAAUUGAUGAGAAAGUAAAGGAAGCUAGUCAUCUAUAGCAUUAUAAGUUGCUUGUGGAAGAGGACAACUGGUCUUCAAGAUCCAUAAGUGAAGCUGAUUUCCUCCUAAAGAGAGAGGCCAAAAUGCUAAAGGACUUUGGGAGCCAUUUCUGCUCUUCAUAGUUGUGUUUACCAGAUUGUAAACAUGGGUCUUUUCUUUUUCCUUAAUUUUUCUACCGCUUUCUUAAAGGACAUAUUAUUCUCUUUUGUGCUUUUCUUUUCUUUCUGUUUUUUUACUAUUUUAUUACUUUUCUUUUUCUUUAUGCUUGGAAUUCAACCUGGUGCCUCCCUAUCCCCUCCAACCUCUUGCUUAGUGAUAUUUUUUUAUUUCUAUCAAAUGAAAAAAAAAAGCCCACAUAUAAUGAGAUCCCUAGUGCAUCGCAUCAUCUGGGAUCUGUUUCUACCACUAGCAGAAUGCCUACCUCUUUCAGUCUUCCGGAUAGAAUUCAUUCAGCUUGUAAAAGUGGGAUUAAACAAUCAAUUUCUGGGGGAUCAAAAGUUAUAAAACUUUGUAAGGAGGAGUUGAUCCUUUUCGGAUAAUUUUGACCAUGGUACAGGUCAGAAUGUCUUUGAUUAGGUGAUACAAGGCAUAUUUAUGGCUAAGAUAAGUCAAAAAGUAGCAUAAAAUGGAAGGCAGUACAUGAGAGAAGAGACAAAAAGCAUGAGUGAGACAAAUUUUGCUUUCUUUUAAAAAAGAACAAUCAUUUUCACACCUUAUUUUCUGUUUUAUACCAAAAAGAAAAAAAUAUUGAUGGUCAAAUGGACGGGUUGAUAAAGCAGGCUGGAAUCCUCAGACAAUUAAAAUACAGGACAGUUCUUACCACAGGAGGUAUUCAAUCUUGAUUGAAAAAAUAACUAUAAUUAAAAUGAAAAAUCACUGGCAUGAAGGAGAUUCUCAGAAUUGAAUGAUCCACGGUAAGUAGAAGGCCUUUUUGUUGUAUCCUACAGAUGGAAGAAUCUCAAAUUGUGAUUUAGUAUGUGCAUGAGCACAUAUACCAUAUACUAGAAUUUCAAGUUCAUGGACAUUGACAAAAAUUAUUAACCAAGAUGUAACUUUCAGUAACAGAAACACAAUGUUCUAAAUGUUGAUUGUUGUUAAUUACCUUACUAUUCCAUUGUUAGAUUGACACCAUGCUUUUACAAGUGUAGCAACAUCCAGCCCAUGUAUUUAAUGAAAAUGAUUAUUCGAUCAAUAUGGUCAGGACACCUACAUUCUCCUUUUAUCAACUAAAAUUCCCAUUUAUUAUAAACAAGCAUCAAGGCAUCAAUGGAGAGGAAUACCUGCAUGAUCAUUUGCAAGAGAUGCAUACAAGUAAUUGUGCUUGAAAGCCAUCCACUGUUAGCACAUAUAUCUAUCAUUGCCUGCACAAUACGUAUACUUUGAUCCAAUACUGACUUCAAGUCUGUGACAUAGUCACUGAUGGGCAACUCUAGCUGAGAAAAAUGUGCCUGAAUUCAAAAGUUCACAUACUAUUAUAAGACCAUAAAAUAAAGGUGCUUGAAAUGACCACCACUUCACAUUUACCAAUCCUUUGAUAAAAGGUCUGGUCAGAGAUGAACCUGACCUGAAAUAGCAAAUUUGCUUUGACAUGUGGGUCAUCUAGGCGAUUCUUAUCCACCAUACAUGGAACUUUCGCAGAUAGUGCUUCAUUGUAAUUUUCCUAUGAGCAACACAAGAAAAUUUAGAGAAGGAAAAAUGAGAAACAACACAUAAGUUUCUUGUCCAGUGAAGUUUAACACGUGACCAUGACUACUAUCGAUAAAUCAGAGAGUUAGUGCAUAUGUGCAAUUGAUGAUACUGAUGCCAGAAUUUACACAGAUACGAGUUUGAGGGUCUACAAACCAUAGAAAAGGUUCAUGAAGAUGCAGAAUAAAAUCUAGCUUAUAACCAAAGGACUUUUUAGUACAACAAAAAACAUUCUUUAUUGGAUAUACAAUUCACAAACACCUGCGUAAUAAAGAUCAAAUCACAAAAGAUAGCAGGACAAGUAUAAGUUUUUAUCUCCAGUUUAGUAACUAGAAAAAGAAACAGAACUUGCAAUGAAUAGCGGAGUUAAGAACUGAACUGAACUUUCAUCUUUUGAAAAACUUCUUUGUUUCACAGCAAAGAGAAUAUCUUUGGCUGCCUUGCUGCAGUUCAAAACCAGGAGACAUCCUAUGUUCUUGAAGUUAAGCAAGGAUUCUCCAUUCAGGACUUCCAUAAAUACAUUUCCUCAUUCUCUCCUGAAAAUCUGGCAGAAAUUUUAGUUCUCCAUUUUCUCAGAGGUCCACAAUGAGUCCAAAUUUUUGUUAAAAGAUUCCAUCCUGAGUGCAUGGCUAAUUGAAUCUAGGACAAAUUUAAAAGGAGCAAUUGUAAUAUUACUUUGUUUUGGUAGUUAACAGACCACACCCCACCCCCCACCAAACAAAGAAUUAUCUCUGUAAAAUACUGAGAAAAAAAAGAAGGGAAAAAUCACUUGUCAUGGCUGAACACUUUCCUCUCAGACACAAGACGUAAGGGACUUGUUCCCGCAUGCUCUUUUCUGACUUAGCCUUAAACCCAAGUGCCCAUGAUCUUAACCUAUGAUGCUAAUUGGAAGAACCCAUUAAAAAUAUCAAAGCAAAUAAAAUUUAUAUGAUAUCACAAAAAAUAAAUAAAUAAAUAAAUAAAUUACAAGUCUUAGCCCAAGGUUUGGCUAAACCUAAGUUUUGAUGAUAACAAAUAAAGACUUUGAUUUAAUGUUUAAUUUCAAGGGUGAUAUAAAAGAAGAUCACCUUGGAUGAAUAAUGAAGAAACUAUACAACUCAAUGAUGUAGAGCUAAGGUAGAUCAAAGUGCACAUCAUGAAGAACUCAUCAAGAUCGAAGAUUUAUUUUUAGGUCAAUUUCAUGUAAAACUGGUGUGCACCAAGUUAGGAAGCAUGUGAUCAUUUUGAGGCACCAAAACUCAUCCAAUUUAAAUCAAAUUGUUUUAAACCUUUUCAAAAUUGUAUGAAAUAUCUUUUCAAAUGAAAACGACUUUAAAAUUAGGUAAUUCAUGUCUAAAAGAUUUUCAAAUCAUAAGGAGUUUGUUUAGUUGGUUUUCCCUGAGUUUGUUUAAUUGGGUGAUUGACCAAUUGAGGAGGUUUUGGCAAAGGGAGAAAGUAGUGGCUAUUGGUCAAGGAAAACCUCUGCCAGUCGUGUAAUAGGUCGACUGAUCACUCAACCAUCCAAUUGACCUGUAGAAAACAAAAUGUGUCUACCCACUCUUUUCUAAUUGAAACUCCUAUUUAAAGCUCUCCAAGUGCAUUUAUGAAUGAGAGGAAUCUUGAGUAAUCAUUGUUACAUCAUUUAUUAAGCUUUAAAGAGUAUUUAAAUGCAUCCUUCAUUAGAUUUGCUAAUCCAUACAUAAUGAACCUUAAUCCUAGUUUUUAUUGUAUCCUUGAGCUUCAAAAUUGCAAACUAGGAGGAUUACUUGUGAGGUUUCAUUCUUGUAAGCUUGAGAAAGUUUGUAUCAAGUGUGAGGUAUCACUUGAGAGAAAUUGUUGAAGGCCCAUUGGAGUCAAAGAAUCAAAGUGUAAGAAGUUUUAAAGGCUUUGAAUUGAAAGUUGAUAGCGGAGCCCUUGGCUUGGGAUUGAAGUUAGAGGAGAGUGGAUGUAGACGGGUUGUGUCAAACCACAUUAAACGGAGCUUGCAUCUCUCUUACCCUCUUUCUCCUUAUUUUAUUUAUUAAUAUUAGUGCUAUUUGCAUUUAAAUUUGUUAAAAUUUAUUUAAAGAGACUGAUUGAUACCCAAUUCAAACCACACCCAACCAAACCCAACACCCCACCCCCCUCUCUUUCCUCCCCCUCUUCUCUCUUGGGUGAUUACCUAGGUUUGCUAAUUAAAUUGACUUCACAACAGGGACUUUGAAGUUACUUUCUUGAAUAAGAUGUUAUUCUCUUAUGUGAAAUGACAUCCUUGAUUUUAAACAAAAUCCAUAAAACUUCUACUCCAUCCUGUUCCAUACUAAUUAGGUAGUCUAUGUGAAGUUGUUUUCAUCAUUCUACUCCAUCUUGGUCGAUACUAAUUGCUAAGCCUUAUAACACCAUGUCUUUCCUCAAAGCAUCAAAACAAAGAACCCAGUAAAAGGAACAACCCAAUUUUGUGGUAAUAUUAAAAAUUUGGUAGAACCACUCAUCAAACCUUGAUGAGCCUAUUUCCUAAGGAUUCAUCCAUGAAAUGGGAGCAAUGGAAUCUCCCUCAACUACAAGAUUGGAAAGGCCUGAAGCUUUAGCCUACAAAUAGCCCUCUAGGAUGGUUAGAAUCACAGUCCCAAUAGUGGAACUCUAAUCUGCAGGUUUAGACUAGGUCUUUAUCACAGUACUGCACUGAUUUCUAAGCACUCCUUCAGCCCUUAGCUGCCUUGGGAUAUACCCAAGGAACAUCCAUCAAAGUUUAAUUUGACAUAACCUGUAGGAAGCAAUGACCAUACACGAAAAGUCUUCUUAGGCAACCUCUUGGACCUGCAUACAAGGUUCCAAUUGCUCAAAGGAGUGCCCAUGAAGGCUUCAUUAAUAGAGGCCCAAAGAGAGGAAGAAAAGUAAAACAAGUUCUAACAAAAUAUACUGUCCUUCAAAUAUCCCAAAAAAUCCUCACAGUACUUUUUUGCCCUAUAGCCCAAAUCAAAUUGAGGCUUGCAAUGUUUCAUAGAACCUUGAUCCUAGGCCAACCCCCCAAAAGCCCUAAAAGAAAUUAUCAACUCAUUUAAUCUCAAAAAGGAUGAAUAAUCUGUGCCACGGGCACAUGACAAUUGGACAAUGAAGGCAUUUGCUUGUAGAGCAUAUCAUUGGUAUUAACCUUCUUAAGGAUCAUAUUUACUCCUUCCUAAACAUGUCCAAUCUUUCCUCUAUAACUGGUACAGAAGGUGGGGCCCAACAUUGUUCACUUGACCUAAAUUGUGAUAGGCAAUUCACUUGGCAUAGUUCUCAUUGUUCACAUGCUCUCCAUCACACUUCCAUUGAUUGUGUAUAUAUGAUAAUUGUUUUGACUCUAGAGACAGUUGUUGUUGUUUCUUUAAGGACCCUAUCCCAAGCUUUUUUUUAAAAUAAAUAAAUAAAUACCUUAUUUCUUCUUCUAUCCAAACAUUUCAUUAAUUGAUAUAGCAUCAACAGUGAUCUACCUGCCAUGGCACCAAACUAAUUAUAUGAUUAACAUGUUUCAUAUUUUAGUAUUUGAUUCAGCACUCUCUCCUUUAGUUUUCACAGUAUGAAUCAAACAUUUCAUGUAUUGCAUUUAUUCAUAUACGUGCCUAUGUAUGUAUAUGUGUUCUCUAUGAAAAAUGACAUCAAAAUUCAUUGCAAUUUGAACUAAAAUGAAGAAAAAUGAGUUAUUCUUCAGGAAGUAUAAGACACAAAAUAAUAGUCUCUAAGAAUGUGAUGCAACACACAAUCAUUAUUAGUUUCUAUUUUAAAUUCAUCAUUAGUUUCUAUUUUCUACAUCAUUAGUUUCUAUUUUAGGUUCAUUAUUAGUUUCCUAUUUUAAGUUUCCUAUUUCAAUUAUUUCUUUUAUUUUUGCAUUACAAACAUUAUUUAAAGACUUGUUGUAAUUGUUAGGAGUUGAAUAUAAUUUUUCAGAAUUAUUCCAUAAUUUUCAGAUCCUAUUGUGAUCUUUGUGUUUGUUCUUGAGUGUUUUUCUGUUUCGUUUCAAAACAAACCUUCCGCUGCCCCAAAAUUGGUAUCAAAGCAAGAAUUUUUACCUCGAUCUGAUGGCUAGCGACAAUUCUAGUGGAAAACGAACCAUCAACAACAAACGGUUCGAAAUUGAGCAACGACUCAACAGGAUCGACGAAACUCCUUGCAACCUCACGCAAAUGGUGACUGUGUUGAUUGUUGAAGGGAAACGCGAACCCAUGGAGCGACGACUAGACCAGUGUGGUGACUAGCAAGAGGAUUGCUACGACGAUUGACGUCGGUCAUAGAUCAGGCCAGAAAUCAAUGGCAAAUGAGCGAUUCGUGCGGGUCCAACCACAAAUCGCAAUUUUCGCGAGCCCCUUCCAUUAUGAGUGUUUGAGCGUCAGAAUCGGGGAGCUCUUAGGCGGCGUGAUGACGACGACCUCUGGCGAGGGGUUUUUGAUGAACAAAAUGAGUUUUGUCCACCUUUUCGAGAUGGUGAUGAUUUUCAACUUCCACAGUAGAGGAAUAUUCAACAAAGGCAUCAACGGAGGUUGAGUUAUUCAUCUAGAGAAGAAAAUGAUUUUUGUUUCAAUUAUUAGGCUAACAAUCGAAGUCAAAAUAACCAAGAGUUUAAGAUAAAGAUGGAUUUACCAAGUUUCAACGAUCGACUACACAUUGAAGAUUUUCUUGAUUGGGUCCAUAUUGUAGAAAACUUUUUUGACUAUUUGAAUAUUUUAGAAAAAAAUCAAGUAAAGCUCGUGGCAUAUAAGUUGAAAGAUGAAGCUUCUACAUGGUAGGAACAACUUCAAUAUAAUCGUCAAUGAUAAGAAAAACGUGUUCAUACCUGGCCUAAGAUGAAAUGGUUAUUACAAGGGUGAUUUCUCCCUCCGGAUUAUGAACAAUUUUUAUACCAACAAUAUCAAAAUUGUCGACAAGCCAACCGGACUGUGAACGAAUACACGGAGGAAUUUCAUCAAUUAAAUGCCUGAGUUAAUUUGUUUGAGACGAAGUAUCAAUGAAUUGCUCGUUAUAUUAGGAGCCUAAAGUUAGUUAUUCAAGAUCGAAUGGCUCUUCAAGGGGUUUGGACCAUGACAAAUGCAACUAAUUUGGUGAUGAAAGUAGAAAAUCAUAUCAAUAGGUCCACGAUGCACACUCAUGGUAACUUUUGUCGACCAACCCAAGAAACUUCUUUUGCUCCAAAUGGGUCAACAACUUCGGGUAGCAAUGAUAACAACAAUAAAGAUGCCCCUUCAACUCAAAAUUCGACGCAGAAUCAAAGUGGAACUUCAAUUCCUAUUCGAUCUAAUACUCAAGGCUGAAACCAACAGCAACAACGAAUCAAUAAUGACCCUUAUGCGCGUCCAAAUCUAGUGCAACCAAUCAGGCCAUCUUUCAAAUAAUUACCCGAACAGAUGAUCUAUUAACUUUGUAGAAUAAGGUGGCAGUGAAGAGGAUUAGGUUCUUGACGAAGAUAUUUACGAGGGUGCUGAGUUUGUAGAAGGAAAUGUGGGAGAAAAAGUGGUGUGCAUCGUCCAACGACUUUUGUUUAUCCUAAAGAAGCCAAACGACUCUCAACGACAUAAAAUAUUCCGGACUCGAUGCACUAUUUGUAAUAAAGCGUGCAACGUGAUCAUUGACAGUGGCAAUAGCAAGAAUGUUGUUUCCAAGGCUUUGGUGAAAGCACUAAAUUUAAAGACUAAGAAACACCCUUCUCCAUACAAGAUUGCAUGGAUUAAGAAGGACCCAGAAGUUCAAAUGCUAGAAGUUUGCAAAAGUCCUUUGUCGAUCAAGAAGUAUUACAAAGACGAGAUCGUAUAUGACAUGGUGGAUAUGGACGCUUGUCAUAUUUUAUUAGGAAGGUUGUGGCACUAUGAUGUUGAUGCCACUUAUUUAUUUUUUUAAUCAAAACAAAAUAUAUGUAUUAAUAGAGAAAAAAGGCAUGAGAAGAAUGAGAAAUCCUCCCUAAUAAGUACAAACUUGAUAAAAAAAACUAAGUAAACCUUCACUAACCAAGGAAGGCUAUACAAGAGAUACAAAAGGUUGCAUGAUCAAAAGAAUUAAGUAAACCUCCACUAACCCAAUGAGGGCUAUGCAAAAGGAACGAAAGGCCUAUACAAGUAAAAUAAUCUUGACCCUAUAGCCCAACCCUAGGGUGUACACAACUAAAGCCAACUAAGUUGGAUUACACUCAAAGGAUAGGGUUUUAAAAUGUCUAUACAGUAAGCCUAGAAAGAAACAUGAAAAUGAAUUUGAUCCCACAUCAUCUUUAGAAUCUUCCGAAUGUCCUCGAAAAUCUUAGCAUUUUUCUCUCUCCACACAAUCCAUAGGAGAGAGAAAGACGCGAUCCUCUAAAGAGUAUUGCCUCUAAUAGAAUUCCCAAAACACUUGAAGGAGAUCACCAACAUAACGCAAAUACUACUAGGUUGAACCCACUCCAUUCCAGCUUGUGAAAAGAUUCUAUGCCACAAUCCCAACGUAAUCGGACAAUGUUAGAAAAGAUGAUCAAUCGUCUCUCUGCUCCUCCUACAAAGGAUGCACCAAUUAGGGCUAAGGGCUUUGAAAGGUCUUCUUAACUGCAACAUGUCAUUGAUAUUUAUCUUCUUAUGAGCCACUAACCAAGCAAAGGCCUUGACCUUAGAGGAGACUUUUGAGUUCCACAAAAAAUUAGUUGGGUAGAAAGGAAUAGAAUUUGAGACACUGGCUAAGGCUGAAAAAAAAAAAAAAAUUAACUGAGAAAAUUCCGGAAGAGGACGGAAUCCAAGCUUUCGCAUCUGGAACUGAAGGAGUCAAAUAAACAAGGAAAAGUAAGGAUUUUAGUUUUUCAAGAUCCACAAUCUCCUCAUCAGUUAGGUUGCGUCUAAAUACUAGAUUCUAGGACAAAGAAGUGUUAUUUCCCAAAAUAGCUGAAAUAGGAUGAGUUUUAAUGGUGGUGAUUCUGAACAGUCUUGGAAAUUGUAAACAAAGAGGUUGGUUCUCCCACCAAAGAUCUUCCUAAAAACGAAUUUUGGUCUCAUCAGCUACCACAAAACGAAUGUGUAGAAAAAAUUUGAAAAAAAUGAGCAAUGGCUUUCCAGGGGCAACAAUGUAACCAUCUAAUUAUAUUGUUGGCAUCCCAUCCAUUAGGAUGUGUCCCAUAGAUACUCAAGAUAACCUGAUGCCAAAGGGCAGAGGUAGUACCUCCAAAGUCACUUCCCUAAUAAAGCUUGGUUCCUCAGAGAGAUUUUCCCAAACACUAACCCGCUAGACUCCUUAGGCUUACAGACCAUGUCCCAAUUGACCAAAUGAUCCUUUUUACCCUCCCUAAAAUUUGACCACAAAAAAUCUCUUUGUAAUUUUUCAAUCCUUAAAGCUAUUAAAACUGGAACCUUGAAAAGAGAAAGAAAAUAGUAUGGGAUGUGUGACAAACAAAACUAAAUAACGGUGAUUCUUCCUCCUAAGGACAAAAAGGUUUUUUCCAUCCAUCCAACCUCCUAGAGACUAUCCAACACUGGAUCCCAAAAGGCGACCGAAUUUGGAUUUCCUCCCAAAGGGAGACCCAAAUACGAUAAAGGUCAAUCAAAGACUGCACACUCAAGCAAAGAAGCCUACCUUGCAGUUUAGUCUUGACUAAUGUUGAUUCCCGAAAGAGUGCUCUUAUUUAGAUUGAUCCUUAGCCCUAAUAACCGCCCAAACACCAAUAGAAUUAACUUGAGAGAAUGCAACUCUUCAAAUGAUGCUCUAAAAAAAUAUGGUGCUAUCCGCAAAUUGUAAAUGAGACACUUGGAUCCUAUUUCUGCCCAUUAGAAACCUCUCAAAUAAACAUGUCUCCUCCGCUCUCACAAUCAAUCUACUUAAAACAUCAACCACAAAGGUGAAAAGAAAAAGGGAAAGGGGAUUGUAAAUGAUGCCACUUAUAAGGGUCGAAAUAAUACUUUUGUUUUUUGGUGGUUUGACAAGAAGAUUGUUUUGAUGCCAUAGUCUCAAUCAUCAAAAAACAAUUCGAUUACUAAGAAAGAUAAGUUGCUAUUCACCAACAUAACAAGCCUAGAUUUCUUUAAGCAAGUCAAGGAUCCAAAUUUUGUUGUAGCAUUGGUGGUUAAGGGCCAAUCUGAAGCAACUAUUAAUAUCCCCACCAAGGUUCAAGAGGUACUUGCUGAUUUUCCUGAUUUAUCUCCUAAUGAAUUACCUAAUGAGUUACCUCCUAUGCGAAAUAUUCAACACCAUAUCGACUUAGUACCUAGAGCUAGUUUGCCUAACUUGCCACAUUAUCGUAUGAGCCCAACUGAGCAUGAAGAGUUGCAGCAACAACUUAACGAGUUGCUUGAUAAAGGCUUGAUUCGUGAGAACAUGAGUCCUUGUGCAGUCCCAGCUUUACUCACCCCAAAGAAGGACGGUAGUUGGCACAUGUGUGUGGACAAUCGCACUAUCAACAAAAUAGCGGUCAAGUAUCGUUUUCCUAUCCCACAUCUUAAUAACAUGCUUGACAAGUUAGAAGGUGUUGUGGUGUUUUCCAAACUUGAUUUACGAGGUGACUAUCACCAGAUUCGUAUUGGACCAGGAAAUGAGUGGAAUAUGACUUUCGAGACUAAAGAUGGCCUUUAUGAAUAGCUAGUGAUGCCAAUUUGGGCUAUUACAUGCGCCAAGCACUUUCAUGUGGUUGAUGAACCAGGUUCUUCGUCCAUUUAUUGGAAAAUUUGUGGUGGUUUAUUUUGAUGAUAUUCUCAUCUAUGGUAAGAACGUGGAAGAGCACUUAUCACAUUUCAAGGAAGUUCUUUUAGCCUUACAAGCUAAUAAAUUAUAUAUCAAUCUUAAGAAGUGUAGCUUUAUGACUAGCCAUCUUCUAUUCCUUGGAUUUAUAGUGGGAAAGAAUGGUAUUCAAGUUGAUGAGACGAAGGUGAAGGCAAUUCGGGAAUGGCCAGCUCUUAAAACUGUGCAUGAAGUGCAAAGUUUCCACAAUUUAGCUACUUUUUACAAGCGUUUUAUUCGAGGAUUUAGCACAAUCGUCCAUUACCGAUUGUUUGAAGAAAGACAAGUUCCAAUGGGGUAAAGCACAAAAGACAACUUUGAAUCGAUAAAAGCAAAGUUAUGCACUAUGCCAGUGUUCGUACUCCCCAAUUUUGAGAAAGUGUUUGAGGUUGAAUGUGAUGCAUCAGUUCUGGGAAUUGGGGUUGUCUUAUCUCAAGAGGGUCGCCCAAUGGAAUUUUUUAGUGAAAAGGUUAGUGAGCCUCGACAAAAGUGAUCCACCUAUGAGCCUUCAAUUUUAUGCAGUUGUUCGAGCCUUAAAGCAUUGGGAGCAUUAUUUGUUUCAUCAAGAGUUUGUGCUAUUUACGAAUCAUCAAGCUUUAAAGUUCAUCAAUUCUCAAAAGACGAUGAAUCGAAUGCAUGCUCGAUGGAUUGCCUUUUAUAGAAGUUCACUUUUGUUAUCAAACAUAAGUCUAGCCAACAGAAUAAAGUAGUUGAUGCAUUGAGUCGACGAGCCUUUUUACUAGCCACAAUUAGUACCAAGGUGGUGGGGUUUGAUUAUUUGAAGGAUACUUAUGCUGUUGAUGAGGAUUUUGGUGGCAUAUGGGCGCGAUGCAACAAUAAGGAGUUUGUUACUGACAUCUUUAUUUAAUAUGGAUUUUUAUUUUGAGGUACACAAUUAUGUAUCCCUCAUUCCUCUUUACAUGAACAUUUAAUUAGAGAAUUGCAUGUUGGUGGACUAGGAGGACAUGUUGGCUGGGAUAAAACAAUCAGCUUGGUAGAUGAGAGAUUUUAUUGGCCCCAACUUAAACGGGAUGUUGGGCGUUUCGUUCAGCGUUGCCUAGUGUGUCAGAAAGCUAAGGGACAAGUUCAAAAUACUGGUCUUUAUACUCCUUUACCUGUUCCAGAGACAAUUUGGCAAGAUUUAAUUAUGGAUUUUGUUCUUGGCCUCCCAAGAACUCAACGUGGAGUUGAUUCAGUUUUGGUUGUAGUUGACCAAUUUUUUAAGAUGGUUCACUUUCUUCCUUGUAAAAAGACUUCGAAUGCUUCUUAUGUGGCCAAUUUAUUUUUCCGUGAAAUUGUUCACCUGCAUGGCAUUCUUCGUUCCAUAACUUCAAAUAGGGAUGUGAAAUUCCUUAGUCAUUUUUGGAGAACUCUAUGGAAAUUGUUUGACACUUCUUUGAAGUAUAGUAACACGAGCCAUCCCCAGACUGAGGUGGCUAAUCACACUCUUGGCAAUAUGAUACAAUCUGUUAGUGGAGAUAAAUCGAAGCAAUAGGAUGUUGCCCUUCCACAAAUUGAGUUUGCUUUUAAUAGUAUGCCUAAUCGUUCUACCAAGAAGACUCCUUUUGAAGUUGUCUACACUAGUGUUCCAAGGCAUAUAGUGGAUUUGAUUCGUCUUCCCCUUUCUCAUGAUGUCAAUCCUAAUGCAGAGGAGUUUGCAGAGCGUAUUCAACAGAUUCAUCUAGAAGUGAAGAAGAAUUUAGAAAAGGUUAAUCUUCAUUACAAAAUUGUUGCAGACCAACAUCAGCGCCUUAAGUUGUUCAAUGAAGGUGAUCUAGUAAUGGUCUAUCUCCGUAAAAAUCAUUUUCCUACUUGCACAUACAAUAAUGCUUACAAGAUUGGUCCUUUUCGAGUCCUUCAGAAGAUUGGAGAUAAUGCUUACAAGAUUGAUCUUCUAGCCGAUAUAAACAUUUCCAAUACUUUCAACGUUGUUGAUGUCUUUGAAUACUUUCCCUCGGAUGAGUUUUCUUUGCAGCCACAAAACUUGAGGAUGAGUUUUCUUCAAGUGGAGGGGAUUGAUGCAACACACAAUCAUCAUUAGUUUCUAUUUUUAGUUUCCUAUAUAAUUAGUUUAUAUUUUAAGUUCAUCAUUAGUUUCCUACAUCAUUAGUUUCUAUUUUAGAUUCAUCAUUAGUUUCCUAUUUGAAGUUUCUUAUUUUAGUUAUUUCCUUUAUUUUUGCAUUACAAACAUUAUUUAAAAACUUAUUAUAAUUGUUAGGAGUUAAAUAUAAUUUUUCAGAAUUAUUCCCUAAUUUUCAGAUCCUAUUGUGAUCUUUGUGUUUGUUCUUUAAUUUUAUUUUUUUUUGUUUCGUUUCAAAACAAACCUUUCGUUGCACCAGAAUGAAGAAAGAGAAAACAAAAACCAUAAAGAUGCACAAACCCUCUCAAGGUGGCAUAAACUCCUCUACGAACGCCUUUAGCCUAGAACCCCCUGGUUUACCCAAAGAGUGAGCUAACUAAUUAGCUGAGUGAGGAAUCCACCUGAAGGAGCAACCCAACUCAGCAGACAAGACAUUUUCUGCAAUAAAGACUCCUUCAUUCCUAUAUUCCUUGGAUCCUAUAAUUCCUCUUCCAAAUAACUACUUUUGAGACUCUGUAUACAUGCAUGCAUAAAAAACAGAGACAAGAAAUUCUGUCAAAAUGUACAAAACCUGAUCAAUACCAACAAGCUGAAUAUUAACUGUUCCAGUGCAUAAGCAAAACAAGCUCUGCAACACAGGAAAGUGACAAAAAUGUACAAGCCCAAGAAAGCACUAUAAUAGCAUAGAGAGAAUCCAGCAAAGGAAUUAGAAAAACACAGCCAUUUCACUGUUGAAAAGUGAGAUAUAUGUUAGUUUGUGGCCAAGGGAAUAAGGAAAUAAAACCCAAAUUUGAUGACAACUGCAUUUUUAUCCAAUGCAAGUACAGUAUACCUAUAUAUUAUAAUGUUACUAACACCAAGCAUAAAUAUUUUCUGAUAUUCAUCUGAAGAGGUAAAUAUACAAAUCUGGGCAUAUCCUAAUCAGAAAAUUACCUCAUUAUGCCGCACAGGAAGCUCAUCAUACUCAGAAGCACCAGAUAGAAUAUGAAGGAAAACCUGAGAUACAGAUCAUUUUCAAUGAAAAACAGUCUGAAGGAAAACAGAAAAAAUAAAUAAAGAGGAUUAAAUUAACAAUACAUUGGAACAGUUACUUACUUCAAGUGAUGUAUCAGGGCCUAUGUUAGAACCAAACAUUGACACAGUCAUGUAGCUAAGGUAAUACUGAGAUGCUAUUGAACCUAACAUCAUAGGCUCGACAUUAUCUUCAUUCAUCUGGAUGCAUCCACUGUCUUCCAGAUCCUCGAAAGUGUUUUGCACUAACCUGCCAAAAAUAUGGACAAAGAAGAUAGAACUGUCAUCAAAAGGAAAGAAAAUUUCCUAAUAGAAGAACUUCCAUGGAAUCAGUAUGGCAAUAUUACCGUGACAAGUAUGAACUUAGAAUCUCAGGGUCUGUAUCAUCUAAGCCAUAAUAAGCUGGGUUAACCAUCUGUCACAUGGAUUUGUUGCUCAGAACUUUUAAAGAAGACAAAGAACAAGAACUUUUGGAAUAAGUGCAAAAUCAUCAAUACUUGGGCAUGUUUUGUCAUCUAAGAUUCUAUAGGAAUAGAAGAAGAAACACAAUUUGAGAAGUCCAAUAAUUUUCUAGAUGUUGCAGUGUCAAAUACAAAAUCUUUCACUUUUCUCAUGUAUGACAGCAUUUUUCUUACUAGUCUGCGAAAUAAAUAAGUCCAGGUGAGAUAAUGCAUGGCGUCCUCUUUAUGACAAAUUGUUCCAGAAACUAUCUCUGCAUUGAUGUGAUCAUGAAAGUGCUCCCUCAGACUACUCUCAACUGGAAAUGGUUCAUAAAGGAACUGCAAAUAGAAAAGAUCACAAGUUGUUCCAGGAAGUUUAGCAACAAAUAUCGCUCAAUGAUCAUGCAUUUCUUUUAUUAUAAUAACAACAAAACUUUAUUUCAUUGACCUUUUUAUAAAAGCUCUUUUUAGGUUCAUGAACAAGAAUGACUGCUUUCCCAUGUUGGUCAUAUUGUGGUCGGCCUGCACGCCCCAUCAUUUGCAAGAUAUCUGUGAUAGGAAAGUCAACAUAUCUUUUGGCCUUUCCGUCAUAAAACUCUGUUCCCUGGAUGAGAAAUAGAAGUUAUGUUAAAACAAUGUUAGUCACAAGGUGUCAAAGGAGAUCCUGCAAAGUAACAGAUUCUCACAGAAAAACCAAUUUAAAUAUAUAUCUAUCCACUUGAUUUAAGAUCUAGAUAACAUUACAUCCAAAUUUCAAAAGAAAAAUAGUUGACUUAAGCCAGUACCUGAACUGAGUUACCCUUAGUAGUUGAUGUGAUAAGACCGGUUUGAAAAUAAAAAGUCAACUGAGGGUUAUUUAUGUUUUAAAAGGUAAAAUAUCCAUAAGCUGAUACAUAAUAGGGUAAUUACAGCCAACUUCUACAGUAGGCUCCCUUUCCAUAAGAUGUUCACAAGAACUAGGGCAGUAAAUAAUGUGUUCUAUCAACUUCCAGUCCAGUUAAUUGAUUUAGAGGGUGGAUGUUUGAUAAAGCAACUUAAUGACUUUAUAUGAAUUAAUAACUUAAUUUAAGUCAUUAACUAAAUUAAAUAUGUUUGGAAAAAUAACUUAUUGUCAUAAGUUAAGAGUUAAAAAUAACUUUAAGUAUUAAGUCAAAAUAAUUAACUUAUUAUGAAUCUUAAAUCUCUUUUGCCCUAAUUUCCCACAUUUAGUGAGAGCCUCUUAUGGAUCUAGAAGACUAUAACUCCACAUUUAUACCUCAUUUUUUAUAAUAAAUAACUAUUUUAUGCAUCUACAAGACUUUUAAUAUGGAUGUUUAACAAAUAAAUUUAUUCCUUGAGAUUAAAGAAAGUAAAUAUUAGUUAAAAUUAACAAGAGUAAAUAUGAAAAUUUGAUGAUUUAGAAAAAAAAUUAACUCUAGAAAAAAAAACAUUUAUACUUACAAUAAAAAUCAAGUAAUAAUUACUAAACCUAAGUUAAGCAAAAGGUGUAAUCAGUUUGUUAUGUUCUCAAAACCAUUUACUAAAGAAAAUGCAGGAAAAGAAAAAGAAUUUACUCACCCCUCUUCAGGAGUUCAUACCAACAUUAACAGCUAUAAAUAAUAAAUAUAUACAUAUAUAUAUAAGCAUACAAUAUAUAGCUUUGCCUCACCUUGAUUAUAACUAGAUGAGCUGGAAGGUUUACACCCCAGGCUAGUGUGCUAGUACAAACCAAGACCUAUCAAUAUAUAGAGGUGAAAAUGCCUAGUCAAUAAAAUGAGUGAGAACAUACCUUCAUUUUUUAAGGUUUGUCUUCUCCAAAUAAAAAUUACUGAACAGGUGACAAGGAAGAACCUGAAUCUUGUUGUUUGAAAAAAGCUCCUCAACCAGAGAUCUGUCUUUGUCAUUUAAUCCUGCAUGGUGUAGCCCAAUGCCAAAUUGCAAGGUGUGCCUUAGGUUCUGAUCAGUAACCUGAGAAAGAACCAUCUGUAGUGCUUCUUCUGGCAUGCUCAGAAAUUGCCUUGGGUGUUCAUCCGAAGCUGCAAACUUCAAUUACAUAAAAAGAAAAAACAAGAACUGUAAGUCUCAACAGUGACAGAACAAUUUAUUUUCCUAACUGGUUGUUUGAUGUCACCUGAAUAAGAUCUAGUGCAGUAAGCCUUGUCUGGCGACGAGAUGAAACAAAUAUAAGAACUGGUUUCAUAGGAGAAUGGGUGCAAAUGGCAGCAUAUGCUGGUUUAUUCAUGCUAUUCAUCCUUGGGCAGUAAAAUUUACCAGGGUAUCCCUGUUCAUGAAAAGUGACAUUAGAGUGAUAACACAACAGUUGUAAAUACAAGAUCUUCAACCAAAUCAACCAUACCCAGAGGUAGUAAUUAGAACAAAGAAAAGCCAGUCUAACCAAUCUAACACCCAUCAAGAAAAAAAUUUUAGUUGGAUGAGAUACCAUGACAAACAUAAAUCAAGUUCUGUAGGUCUUUUUUUUCUUUUUUUCUUUGGUGUAGUAAUUAUAAAUUAUACAGUAAAACAAGUCAUUCCAUCAAUUUUCUAAUCAAGAUUUCUUUUAUCAGACAUCAGUAGCAGGUGGCCCAUGUAUUCAGCCCUACCUCUCCUGGUUUUAUAUUUUUCAGUUUUUAUAGGAUAGGAUAAACGCUUCUUCCCUUCAACCCUCUUCAAAAUAUCUAAAGAAUUGUUCAUGCUAACAUGACCACAUAUUUGGCCUGUUCCUUGUACAUUCAUACUUAUCCCCCACAUUGGAGAAUACGAAGUCAAGCUUUCAAUUCAUUAUAUAGAACAUCAAUGGAGGAAUCUCAACUUCCUAGCUCUCAAAUUUUCCAUUGAGAAAUUCCAUGAGGAAUAGAAAAAUAUAUAUCACAGAAAAGGAUCGUUGAUCCAUUGUUCAAGCUUAAUCUACUGAGAUAUAUAUUUUUUUUUUAAUUUAAGUUAUAACUAACAAGAUCUACGGAAAGAGAAUAGGAAGAAAAAAAAUAUCAACUUAUGAUAAAGCUCUGUUUUCUUAAAAAAAUAUAUAAAUAUGUUACAUUGUCCAAGCUUUUUCUGUAAAAUCUUUUACAUGUAAAUUCACCCUUUUUCCCUUGUUUUUCCAGUGUUCAGUUAGAAGCUUGAAAAUGUGCAUACUCAUUGCCGUUCUAGGAAGUACUUCCACACAAAGAGUCAACAAUAAAUUCAUUAUGAGGGAGAAAAAGGCCAAAAUAAAAACAAGAUCCAACGCCAUUCCCCAGAAACCUGAUCUAUGUCCCCUCAUGAGAUGUUCAGACAAUAGGACAUAGGAGAUAAGACAUCCAAACCCAAACCCUAAACCAACCAUCCAUUUGCCUGCUCAAGUAUCUGAGCCUUGAAAUAUAAUCCUUUACCCCUCCUUAAUUUCUUUGCUUCUCCCUUUGAAAAAAUCCUCCUUGCAGACCCUAUAGAAAUUAUGAAGGAAAUGAAACCAAGACACCCAAACCCAAAUCUGAAAGAAACUCCACUUUCUGGUUUCAGGUUUUGCAGGCCAAAAGCAAAGCCCUGAUUUCCAGCUUCCUGGUGUUCUUCCCCCUCUUCCUCUCCUUCACUCAUUCCAGUGACAAUCUUUUGCAAUCUUAUUGAAAUUUUACAAGCCACACCUCAAUCUGACAAACCCUGAUAGAUGAUGAUCUAUCAAAUUUGUGAUUUCUCAUGGAACUGAUAAUGGCAAAUCAGAAACCGCUUGUUUUCCUAAAGUGAAGCAAUAAUUAACUUGAUUAAAGAAAAAAAGUCAUUUCAAAGAGUUGACCAACCUUGUUGACAAAAAGGAAUGUGAAAUAUGAAGCUUUUUUUUUUUUUUUUUGAUGAGAAACAAUAGUAUAGUAUAUUAAAGUAAGAAUAAGUACAAUAGAAGGAUGAGUAAUCCUCCAAAAAACUACAUAAAAAGAGAGUAGGAACCUCUAAAGUACAAGUAAAUCUAUACAACUAUGAGGUUCCACAAACCAUGUCCCAUGUGGGAAUAUACAAAAAUAAUCUAUACUUGCUAACCCACACCCUUGGAACUACACACCAACAUCCAAUCAAGUUGGAUCAUAUUAAGGGGAAUACCCUUAAAAGUUGUAGUCCAAGAGGCCCAAAAGGAGGCUAAAAAAUGACUUAUGUUCCGAAGACCCUCUGAAGUUCUCACCUUGUUCUCAAAAAUCCUAGUAUUUCUUUCACGCACACAACUCACAUCAAAGCAAGACAAACGAACUGCCACAACACCUUGCCUCUAAUGGUACUUCUCAAUCCUUUGUAUGAGAUAAUCAUCAUGUCGCAUAUACUCCUAGGAGGAACUUAAUCCAUAUGAGCCAAGCUGAAUAGUCUGUCAUAGGCCCAAACUCAAAGGACAAUGUAAGAAGAUAUGGUCUACCAUUUCACCACUCUCCAUAUGCAAUAAAAAAAACAUCAGGACUAAGGGCUUUGUAGGAUCUUCUAAGUUGUAACAUGUCAUUGAUGUUUACCUUCUUGUGUGCCACUAACCAAGCAAAAGAUCUAACCUUAAAUGGGGCUUGCAAUUUCCAAACAAAAUCAGUAGUGAAUGAUGGAAUUAGAUCAAUAUGGUUGAACAAGACUCAAAAGAACAAUUUUACUGUAAAUAAACCUGAAAAAAAAUGGGAACCAAGCUCUUAUAUCAGGACUAGAUGGAAAUAAGUGCAAAUGAGAAAGAAAGGACAUCAGUCUUUCAAGAUUUCCUAUCUCAAAAUUAGAAAGAUUGCGACAGAAGUUUAAAUUCCAAGAGAAAGGAUUAGUGGACCCGAGAACUAAUGAAAUAGUGAGGUUUUUAACUGUGACAAUUCUUAAUAGACUUGCAAAUUGAGAACACAAAGGUUGAUCCCCCCACCACAAGUCUUCCCAUAAAUGAAUUCUUGUCCCAUCUCCCACCACCAACUGAGUAUAUCUAGAAAAAUCUUGAAAGACUUGUGCAAUGGUCUUCCAAGGACAACGAUGUGACCACUUAACUAUAGUGUUGGCAUCUCACCCAUUAGUAUGUAUCCCAUAAAUGCUUAGAAUAACCUAAUGCCAAAGAGCAAAACUUUCCUUAGGAAAUCUCCAUAGCCAUUUCCCUAAUAGAGCACAAUUCCUUACAGAAAUCUUCCCAAACCCUAACCCCCUUCCCCCUUAGACUUACACAGUAAGUCCCAACUAACGAGAUGGUCUCGCUUGUCCUCCCCAACCCUUGAGCAUAGAAAAUCCCUAUGCAUUUAUGAAGUAUGAAGCAUUGUAGUGAUUUACUAAGGGUAUGAAAUGACUCGAAGUAAUUUACUAGAUGAAUCAGUUGCUGAAAGAAUGCCCCCUCAUUUUUGGAUACAAACACUUAACAAAACCUUAAUUUACAAGAUAAGAAACAUUGUGAAAUGUGAGAAAAACUUUGGGCUUCUUAUUAACCUAGUUGAAAAGAAGAAGAAUAAUCAUUUUAUUCAUUUAGUACAGAUUUCCAAGAACCAUGAAUUACUCAAAAUAUCUCUUUGUGUAUUUUCUUAUAGGUUUUCUUUUUAUUUUUCAUUUUUCUCUGUUGCUAGUACACAAAAUAAAAACAGGAACCUCUCCCAUCCUAACUCCAACCCCUUGCCACUUGGGCUUGGCCUCAAGGGCACCAUAUCAUUUUAUGUAUAUUCCUCAAGGCAUCUUAUUCUCUUGACAUAUGUCCACUUCAUCAAAAUAAACUUAAGAGUUGGCACCUAUCUUCAUUCAAAAGAAUAAUAAGUACAAUGCAACAAUAGAAAAUGAAAAUCAGGGUUGAUAUGAAAGCUAGUUGAUGUUGAAAGAACCAUAAUGCAUGCAAAAUACUGCCUCCACUUACCUGGAUAUGAACUUCAAGAGGGACAGGCCUCACACUAGGCUUGAAAUUGAAGAGUCCAAUUUCACCAACACCCAACCAGUCAGCCAAGUCACUAAGUACAGAUAAGUGUGUGAGAAAAUUAGUAAAUGAGAUAACAGCCAAUGAACACAAAAGCACCUAAUAUCCCACAAAUAAUCUAACCACAUGCAAGAGAAUGUUAAGGUGACAAGCCAAAAUUUAUUCUUCCUGAAUUCCAAAUCUCUUUGUAGAUCCCAAAACCCCAAAAUCAAACCAAACCAACCCCUCCUCCCCUCCCCUCCCACUCCCAUGCCACCCCUACCACCAAAAAUCAUCGACUAAAAAAGAAAAAGACUCAAUUUGAUUACAAAUUAAAACAAAACAACCAAGGUAUAGUAUCUUGGUUAAAAAAGAAAAAGGAAAUACUUGAAUAGAUCUCUAAACGAAAAGAGAAUAAUUUUUUUGUUGGUUAAAAUCUUCCAUUAUUUGUAGUUCUUUUUUUUUCUUUCUUUUUCUCAUAGAAAUCGACAAGUCUUUUGUUCUUACAUGUAAUGUUUUUGUUCUCAUAGUUCAAAUAUGCAGUAUCAGUUGUUGACUCCAUUGGUUGCGAAACAAAUCAGUCUACACAUCAUGGAUAAAUAUUGAAUGACAUAUGAUACACUAGUUAAAAAGCUCAAAAGAUUCUAAAAAAAAUAUUGAAAAUUUUGACAAAGAUAAUUACAAUUUAAUGUAGUUAAACAAAAUAAUAAAAAAACAACUAUCGCGUAUGAAAUUAUCUAAAUAGUUAUACAAGCAUGUGUUCAUAUAGUUCAAAGUAUCAGCUAAGAUCAAUACACCUCAGCCAAGUCGUAUUGAUCGUAGCCACGGUUGCGAUAAAUCCAAGAUGCUUGUUGUGCAAUUCAGUAAUAACUCAAUCCCAACUUGAAUAUAAAUCACUUCAUUCGACCAACUCAUGAGACAACUAGGAGUCACAACCCCAUGACCCGGAUCCAAUGAAAAUGGACAAAAAAGAUAGAGAAUCACUACAGUUCUCAAAGAUGUUUCUCAUCAAAUAAGAAAAAAUGUCUCAAUCCAUAAGUAGGAACAAGAAAUUCCAAAUGAUUUAUUUUCAAACAAUUAUUGACUUGUUAGCAAUCACAUUUCUUUUUAUUCUUCUCAUUUUUUGUUUUCAAGAUAUACCAAUUAUAAAAAAUUGGUAUUGAGUACAAAAUGGAUAAUGGUAAUAUUUUAAGAGUUUUUCAAUUCUUAACACUAUCAAAAACGAAUCUGAAAACCCAUGCUUCUAUGACUAUUCAAAUCAUUUCACUUCUUAACACUAUCGAUUCAUGGAACAAGAAAUUCAAAAUGAUUUAUUUUCAAACAAUUAUUGACUUGUUAGCGAUCACAUUUCUUUUUAUUUUCAAGAUAUACCAAUUACCAAAAAUUGGUAGAGUACAAAAUGGAUAUGGUACUGUUUUAAGAGUUUUUCAAUUCUUAACACUAUCAAAAACGAACCUGAAAACCCAAGCUUUUAUGACUAUGUAAAUCAUUUCAAUUCUUAACACUAUCAAAAACACAUCUGAACCCAUGCUUUUAUGACUAUUUAAUUUUAAUUAAUUUUUUGAAAAUUUCCAUUAUUUUUUUAAAGAAUUUUUUGAGCUUUUUUAACUAAUAUAUAGUGCAUAUCACUUGAUAUCAAUCAGAGAUGCUGAGAUCAAUCCCCCUUAAGACUUGCCAAGUCAGCAACCAAUGUUGUUAAGCCUGAACGAUGUGUUCAAAUUGAUUUAUAAUUAUAUUAAGAGUUGAAAAACUCUUAAGACAUUACCAUACUCAUUUUUAUAUUCAAUACCAAGUUAUGAUAAUUGGCAUAUCUGGAAAAUAAAGAAAUGAAAAUAAUUAAUAUUUGUUUGAAGAUAAAUCAUUUUGAAUUUCUUGAUUGAUAAGAGAAAUUUCUGAUAAAUGUAGAGAUUCUCUAUCAUUUUUCUUCCAUUUGCUUUGGAUCCAAGCAAUGAUGUUGGGAUUCCAAGUUAUCUUGCAAGUUAGUUGAGUCAAGUGAUUCAAAUCCAAGUCAAGACCAAGUUAUUGGGCUAACAGUAUAUAUCAAGCUAACCUACACUUGGGCUAAAGCCCUAACACCUACCUCAUGGGCAGCCUACUUUGGGCUUGUGCGUGAGCUCAAUAAACGAGGGUAAUAAAUAUCAGUAAGGUUUGAACAUAUUAACUGCACAUGACCUGUAAACUAAGGCUCAAAUGCCCUAUUAAGUUACCAAUUGAUCAAACUUACUAUUAGGUAAUGGGGCAACCAUGUAGAUCAAUUUAAUUUACACUUGAACUAACGCAUUAACAAUGUUAUAAUCUAUAUAUGCUCCUAUUACAUUAGUGUUGAAUCAGUACAUCAUUUAACAGAAAUGCAAAUCUAUAAUGCUGGAAUGGUAUGUACAAUUUGUGUUGCCAAUAUCUCAUAGUUGGAAAAUGUACAUUAUAUCUUCCAAAUCUGAUACAAGAGGCCAUGGUAGUGAAGUCCUGGAGAACAGGGGAUAUUCUGAAGAUUCAAUUAAGCGUGAGUAUAUAGACAUACCCUGCAUUUGCUAAAGCAGUUGAAAGUCCUACAAACCGCACUGUCCUCUCUGUUUGUGAUGAUAUGUAUCUCAUCCUUGAAACAAUAACCUGGAGUCAAACAGUUCUUUGGUGAGAUUUACAAGUAAGUUACAGUUAUGAAAACAGUUUGUAGGCUACUAAAAUGAGGAUGAUUAACAUAACAGCUUUAAGGAACAUAAUGAAAGAAGGAUAGAUGCAUCUUGUCUAACAUCCCAAACAUUCUAGACAAUAGUUUUAUACAAUUGUCAGAUGUAAAUAUAAAUUCCUCCUCACUUCGAUUAAGAGAAUCUCUAUUUUUAAGUCUUUUCAGACAAUGGAGGUUUGAAGUGUCUCAUCUGCUUUACCACCUCAUAUUCCCCCUUUUUAAAAUUUGGAUACACAUGUCAAAAAUGAUUUGUCAAUGUCAAAAUUCUUCCAUUACUUGGAAGACUAAAAGAGAGAGAAUCAUACACUUAUCUCAACAAGAUGAAGAUAAACCUAUUCCAACCACUGAUAAAUGUGGCUCCCACAUAUGCUCAAGGACCUAAUAGACCAUUGAUAUAUAUAUAUAUGUGUGUGUGUGUGUGUGUGUGUGUGUGUGUGAGCAUGCACAUGUGUGUCUUCAUCCUUAUCUCUACCCCUUGCCACCUGAGCCAGACCUUAAGGCCCAAUAAACCACUGAAUAAUUGAACUUUCAGAAUUAGUGUCUAAUGUAUUUUGUUUUCAGAGCAUGGCAAUAAUUAAAAAUCAAAAUUUAUUAUUCAUGACUUAACCAAUUAAACUAAUAAAAGUACCAUGUAAAAUAUCAAAUUCUGAGAACAUAGAUUCUAAUAUAAACUAAGUGAUUCAAAAAUAUGUUAUAGCAACUAGUAAGUAAAUACCUCAAGAAUGGGUCCACGAUCAGCUCCAAGUAAGUGGAUCUCAUCCAAAAUCAUAAGCCCGACCUAGAUAUCAAAUUUCACAGGUUUAAAUGCAGCCAACAAAUAUGAUUAGUUUGUGUACUAAUUAAAGGUACAAUGGCAAUUCCCCAAAGAGAUAGAAGUAAACAAAUAACAAUUUUCACCUUUUUAACAUAGCCUCGAUUAUGCCAGUUACGACUGAUACCGUCCCAUUUUUCGGGCGUAGAAAUUAUGAUAUCUGCUGACAUGAGGGCCAUCAAGUCUGGAGUAUAAUCCCCAGUCAUCUCAACCUGACAGAAACAAUGUAUUAAUACCCAUACCAGAUGUUUUCAUUGCCUAUGCAUGGUUAAAAGUAAAAAACAUCACCAUCUCUUUUCCAAGUUGAGAGACAAUACGCUUUUUCCAAUCAAUCAUUCUUUCCCGAACAAUAGCCUUCAGAGGUGCUAUGUAAAUAACCUGCAUUAAGGCAACAAUUUAACCAUGUCCUUGCAUUUUGUAAUAUGGGACAUAAAACAUUCAGAAAAACUGUUAACAGAAAGUAAGGAUGUGCAAUUUAAGCACACAUUGGACCUGGAUAACAAGAGACUUAAUUCAUUGUUCUCUGUGACAGUUGUUAUACUUUGGUGGAGCAUGUAAAACAAGUGGAGGGACUGUUAACACAAAUUAUGGAUAUUCAAUUUAAGCAGACAUUGGACCUGUAUAACAAGCGACCUAAGUCACUGUUUUCUGUGAAGUUUGUUUUACUUUCCAUUUCAUAGGGAAAACCAAACAAGGAGCAAACAGAAAAGGAUCUAUAAAAGAGGGGUGAUAGAUCCUUCAUGGGAGAAAAACCAGAAAAACAACAUAAUGCCCAACAACAAUUAUAAAGGGCAUUAUAGACUUGAGAGAUCUAUUUCUUCUUUUAUCCAAAAACCUUCCUACUAGAUCUUUUCGUUUUUUUAAUCUCUGUGUGUGUGUGUGUGUGUGUGUCUUUUAUAAACAAGCAUAUUCAUUGCGUUGAAUGCAAAGAGGGGUGAGCAUUCCUUCCAAGGUGUAAAAUUUCUGAUUGGAAGUAUAAAUGUAAGGCUCCACAUAAACUUAAGACUACCAACACAAAUUAUAGCAAUGUACACAUGAUAAAACCACUCUAUACACUCAAUGAAGGAAAAGGUCUCCAACAAAAGAAGCUAAGUCUUUUGCUCCUCACUUGGCUAAUUGGUUAACAACUUGAUUAGCUGAGCAAGAAACCCAAAAGGAGGAGCAUCCCAGCUCAUUAGAAAUAUCAAUUAUUUUGCAGAGUCAACCAUCUAACUUCCGUGAGUCUCUUUCCUAUUGGACACCCAAGACACAAGAAUAGAAAAAUCUCCCUCCACAUUUAGGUUGGACAGACACAAAGCUUUAGCUUGCAACAAAGCCUCUAGUAAUGCCAGUAUCUUUGCCUCCAUAGUUGAACCCACUACAGCAAAUUUAGAGUAAGCCCUUGGUGUUAUACCUGAAUGAUCUCCGAGCAAGCUUCCCAUACCUAAUUACCCAGGAGAACACAGAGAACACCCAUCAAAAUUAACUCUAUUGAACCUACCAGAGGUAACCAAUCAAGCAUAGUCUUCCCAUGUCAUUUCUUGGAGUAGCAAGCAUUUCUCUAAUCUAGCAACAGUAGGUUUAAAGGAGAACCCACAAGCUCCAUGGGUUGAAAACCUCUAGGCAAGAAAUUGGCAUACCAGUAUUAGAUUCAGUUCCUCUCUAUUGCAACAAUCAAGCAGCCAUUCAUGUUGCUAGCAAUCCUAUUUUUCAUGAAUGAACAAAAAACACAUGUAGGUAGAUUGUCAGUGCAUUCCCUCAAAUCUGGAGAAAGGAAUCUUUACUCCAUUUGUAUCAUUAAUGAAUCAACUAACCAACAUAUUCACCAAAGCCCUUUCAAGAUUGUCAGGGAAAUUCUAAAAAAGAUUGUAGGAGAAUUUUUUAGAAUAUUUUUUAUUUAUCUCCUUUUGUUUUACUUUUAUAGGCUCAUAAAUACCAUUGUAACUUGAUUCAGAAUAUACAGAAAAAUAUGAGAUAUAUUCUAUUCUUUUCAACAAGGACCAAAUUUUAUUUGAAACCUCCAAAGCCACCUUAAACUAGAAGCAAAUAACAGCCACUAAAUUCCAAAAUGUUGCUGAGGAUUUGAGUUAGAACUGAUGGCAGUUUGAUCCGAUAUGCAUAAGCUAUAGAAGGUACAUUCUGGCAAGAACAUGACAAGUAGUAUAGUUUAACAUGUAGUCCUAAAAGGCAUGCAAAUCUUACAACAAUCAUUAAACUUAAAGCAAGAAUAGAGCCAAACAUUUGGUCAACCCUUCAGACCUUAACUUCACCUUUUGCCUAAGAUUAGAGGCAUUGCACUACAAUACAAUUUUCAUAGCCUGAAGUACAUGACUCAACAUUGUUAAGCAUUGUACAAAAUGAAAAUUAUCACUGAAAUCCCAAAUGAGGCCCAUGUAUCAUUAAAGUGAAAAGAUCAACAAAUUUACCUUCAUAUCAGGCUGAGUGUUGAAGAGAUGAAGCAUAGCAAGCUCAGCAGAUAUCGUUUUUCCACUUCCAGUAGGAGCUCCUAAGAGGACAUUGUUGUCUGUGUGAUACAGGACAUGAAAAGUCUGCAACUUCCCAGCAAAAGCAUUAAAUCAAAAGGUCCAGUGUGAUGAAUAAAACCUGAAACCAUGAAGAAUAAAUCCAGAAAACUAGGGGAAGGUCACUGAGUGCAAACCUGUGUUUGAAUGGGAUUGAAGUGUGAAAAUUUGUACAAGAGUUCAUACGUUCUGUUGCCAAGUGAAGUCACAGGAAGAGGUUUCAAAUCUAGAAGUUCUGUGUGGGAAGUACGAGCCUGAAUGGACCGGUAUUUAUAUAAGACACGUCAUUAAUAGGAGAAAGAAACCACAAAAUCACCAUCCUAUUGAAUCCUAUUAAAAUAAGGAAAAGAAUAUAAAAUAUAAAACCUCUGGCAGUGCUAGAUUAUGGAAAGAUAUAGUGUAGAAGGCCUCUGCCUGCAACCAAGAAUCAGAAACAGCACGAAUGUAGUAUUGAGGUGGAUGUGGUUCAAAUAUUGGCACAGUGAACGAAAGCUUCUGAGGCUCCCCUCUUGCCAUCCGCUUUGUCAGUGUGAAAUUCUCAGAGUGGUAGAUGUGGUCAUUGUCAGAGUCCUGUUUAAAAUAGUUGAUUAAGCCUCUAAUUCAGAUUUAGUAAACAUUAUCAAGUAGAAUACAUAAACAGCAAUGUUAUCACAACAGUUUGUAUUUGAAGCCAUGGGUUGAUCUGCAAGUGCAUUGAAAAUUGAAAUAAAGAAAUUCUCUACCGACUGCAUUAUAGGUUGCACCUAACUCACAGUAUAAAUCACCAUGCCUUUAUUGUAUAAAUGCUCAAAACAUGACUUCACAUCUAAGCCAUCUUAAUAUGUACUAGCUGCAUUUUUGCAACAAAAAUAAGACAAAUAAAGAAGAAAACAUUGGAUUCAUUUUACAACUACAAUUUCAUGUCAGACUGCUAGUCACUUCUUUGAAUACGGUCAACAAAAAUCAAGCCUAAUAUCUGGAAAUUCUUUUAAAUUCAGAAAAAAAAAAACAUAAAUUACCUUAAUAACCUUGUGUUUGAAGGAAAACUCAAUUUGGCCCCCGAGCUGCUUCAAGUAGCAAGGGGUUGGGGUAGGGAUGUGGGAGGCUUCAGGUUCUAGUCCCAGCAGGGGCAAAUAUUUAAUAGUAAAUAAACAAAUUUUAUCCAUAAAAAGAAAAGAUAAAAAACAUAAAACAAAAAAAAAAACUCAAUUUGAUGUCUGUCCAGUGUCCAGUGGUCCUCUACAACACUGCAAAUUAUUAAGCUUAGAAUAUGAACUCACAAGAAAAUUUCUUUGCUUGUGUAGACAUCAUCCACCUCAAUUAAAAACCUAGAACCUCUAUUCUUGCUUUGCACUAAACAUUUGAGGUUCCAACUGUAUGUCAGAUUUCAAAGUUAACUGGAUGAAACCAUUUUUGAAAAGAAAUGAAUAGCAUAUUUGGUAAUGAAGAUCCAUUCAAACCUGCAUGGGACAUCUUGCUAGGAGAUUUUGGAGAAUACAUUGUAGAAAAGAGAGAGAGAAAAAAAAGGAGCUGAAAGUUGAAAUAGUGUUCACCAGGUUGCCUGCUACUAGAUUUUUUUUUUUUUUUUUUUUGAUAGGAAACGACAAAGGAAUAUAUUGAUAAAAAGGAAGUACAAGAGAAGGAUGAGGAAUCCUCCCACCAGAGAAAAACAAGACUACAAGUAAUCAAAUAUAAGAAAAUACAAAGAAAAAACAAGCGAACGCUCUAGUUAGACCAACCCAUUGGGAUUACACACCGCUAACCAAUCAAGUUGUAACACGUUAAGAGGUAUCCCCUUAAAAACCUUAGAACAAAAAGCCCAAAGAGAAGCUAGGAAAAGAAUAGAAUCCCAAAGAUACUCUGAAUUCCUUACUUUAUCCUAAAAAAUCCUUGCAUUUCUUUCCCGCCACACCACCCACAUUAAAGCGAUGCACGCGUCAUGCCAUAAAACAAUCCCUCUCUUAGAAGAUCCAAAACCAUUAAAAUUAGUAGAUAACAUGUCAGAGAUGCUCCUUGGGGGGACCCAAUCCGUCUUUGCUAAUUGAAAUAAUAUGUGCCACAACCCCAUCGUCAAAGAGCAAUGGAGAAAAAGGUGAUCUACUGUUUCUCCAUGCUUCAUGAACAACUUACAAAUGUCGGGACUAAGUGCUUUGUAGGGUCUUCUCAACUGUAGCAAGUCAUUAGUAUUAACCUUCUUGUGAGCCACCAACCAGACAAAGGACUUGACUUUGAAGGGGACUUGAGAAUUCCAGACGAACUUAGUAGGGAAAACUGGAGACGAAUAAGAAAUUUGAGAUAAGGCAAGAAAGAAAGAUUUGACUGUGAAAAGUCCUAAAGGAGAUAAAGACUAAGAUCUCAUAUCUGGAACCGAAGGUGAUAUGUGUAGACGAUCAAGAGACUGCAUAAGGCCUUCUAAAUCUUCUAUCUCAUAAUCGGAAAGAUUUCAACGAAAGUUGAAAUUCCAAGAGAAUGGACGAGUAGAUCCAAGAAUUGAAGAAAUAGGAGUAUUUUAAUCCGUGACUACACUAAGUAGUCUUGGAUAUUGGACCCCCAAAGGUUGGUUCCCCCACCACAAGUCUUCCCAGAACCGAAUUCUAUCCCCGUCUCCUACCACGAAUCAAGUAAACUUGGAAAACUCUUGGGAGACUUGUGCAAUGGCCUUCCAAGGACAAUGAUGUGACCAUUUGACUAUAUUGUUGACAUCCCAACCAUUGGAGUGUGAUCCAUAAAUGCUUAAAAUAACCUGAUGUCACAGAGCUGAACGCCCCCUAGGAUAUCUCCACAACCACUUCCCUAAGAGAGCGACAUUCCUCACAGAAAUCUUUCCAAAUCCCAAUCCCCCUUUCGUCUUCGACUUACACACUACGUCCCAACUAACCAGAUGAUCUCUUUUGCCUUCCCCUACGCCUGACCAUAAAAAAUCUCUUUGCAAUCUCUCAACUUUUGCUGCCAUUGAGGCGGGAAUCUUAAACAAGGAGAGAAAGUAACAUGGCAUAUGGGUGAGACAAGAUUGAAUGGGAGUUAUCCUGCCUCCAAAAGAUAAAUACGUCUUUUGCUACCCAUCUAAUCUCCUUGAUAUCCUCUCAAUCACAGGAUCUCAAAAACCACACGCCUUAGGAUUCCCUCCCAGAGGAAGACCCAGGUAAAAUAUAGGCCACCCAGAAGCCUUGCAGUCAAGCAUCUCGGCCAACCUAGAAAGAUGAUUCUGUUCAAGAUUAAUGUCAUAGAUAUUACUUUUGUCAAGGUUAACUUUCAACCCAGAAAUAUGCCCAAACACUAGCAAAACACUUUUGAGGGUCAUCAUAUCCUCUUCUCGNNNNNNNNNNNNNNNNNNNNNNNNNNNNNNNNNNNNNNNNNNNNNNNNNNNNNNNNNNNNNNNNNNNNNNNNNNNNNNNNNNNNNNNNNNNNNNNNNNNUCCAAGACGUUUCUCUCCUCAGCUCUCAAUAACAUCCUACUCAAUAUAUCUGCAACUAUAGUGAACAAAAAAGGGGAUAAAGGGUCACAUUAUCUUAAACCUACAGAAGCCUUAACCCACCCUUUCGCGUUACCGUUCACUAGGACUGCAAAAGAAACCGAGGACAAACAGCCUCUCAUCCAUUGCCUCCAUCUAGGACUAAACCCCUUCAUCUCCAACACAUGAUCCAAAAAACCCCAACUCACGUGGUCAUAGGCAUUUUCAAAGUCAAUUUUGAAGACAACUCCUUCCUCCCCUGAUCGUCUUUUCUCAUCCACUAUCUCAUUGGCUAUGAGAACUACAUCCAAAAUUUGUCUCCCUUGAACAAAAGCUCCUUGAGUAGAAUGUAUGGUUUCGUAAAGUACCCCUCUUAGACUCCCUGCUAACACUUUGGUUAUUAUCUUAUAAAGACUAUUGAUCAAGCUAAUAGGUCUAUAGUCUGAGAUUCUCUUUGACAUGCUUUUUUUGGGUAACAAAACUAUAAAGGAAGCGUUAGUGCUUUGAUUGAUAAUUCCGCUCCUGUGAAACUCUGCAAACACUCUCACUAGAUCCUCCUUUAUCACUUCCCAACAAUCUUGAAACACUGCAAUGGUAAAGUCAUCCGGCCCCGGUGCCUUAUCCCUAUCCAACAGAAAAAUGGCCUUAGAAAUCUCUUCUUCACUAAAGAGGGAUUCCAACCUAGACGCACUCUCACCAGAUAUAGGGGACCAAUCUAAGCCUUCCACUCUCCAAGGCUCUCCAGAAGGACUCGCAUAGAGCUUUUCAAAACCUUAAUAUCUCCUCUUUGAUGCUCGCUGAAUUAUUCAACAUUAGGCCACUUUCAUUCUCUAACUCCUUGAUAUAUUUUCUAUUUCGCCUGCCAUUAGCCACUUUAUGAAAAAAAAUUGAGUUACAAUCCCCUUCCUUAACCCAUUUCACCCUACUUUUUGUCUCCAAUGUAUUUCUUCCCUCAAAAUCAACUCCUCUAGCUCCCCUUUUCUUAAAGCUCUCUGGACUAAAAGUUCAGGGGAUAGACCCCCUUCUUGCUCCAAGGUAUCAAAGCUAGCUAAAUCAGACAAGAUGUUUUUUUUCCUUUUACUUAGCUCUNNNNNNNNNNNNNNNNNNNNNNNNNNNNNNNNNNNNNNNNNNNNNNNNNNNNNNNNNNNNNNNNNNNNNNNNNNNNNNNNNNNNNNNNNNNNNNNNNNNNNNNNNNNNNNNNNNNNNNNNNNNNNNNNNNNNNNNNNNNNNNNNNNNNNNNNNNNNNNNNNNNNNNNNNNNNNNNNNNNNNNNNNNNNNNNNNNNNNNNNNNNNNNNNNNNNNNNNNNNNNNNNNNNNNNNNNNNNNNNNNNNNNNNNNNNNNNNNNNNNNNNNNNNNNNNNNNNNNNNNNNNNNNNNNNNNNNNNNNNNNNNNNNNNNNNNNNNNNNNNNNNNNNNNNNNNNNNNNNNNNNNNNNNNNNNNNNNNNNNNNNNNNNNNNNNNNNNNNNNNNNNNNNNNNNNNNNNNNNNNNNNNNNNNNNNNNNNNNNNNNNNNNNNNNNNNNNNNNNNNNNNNNNNNNNNNNNNNNNNNNNNNNNNNNNNNNNNNNNNNNNNNNNNNNNNNNNNNNNNNNNNNNNNNNNNNNNNNNNNNNNNNNNUGCGAACUUGAUUGAGACCGAAAAGGAACCUAAUACUACCUCCUCCCUACGCAAUUUUUUAGAGUCCCAAAUGAUCAAAAUCCCACCUGAAGCCCCACUUGCCGGGAGGGCUGCCCAAUCCUUAUUUCUGGUUGUCCAAACACUCUCCACGAACCUUCUAUCACACUCCGCCUUUUUUGUUUCCUGAAUCAUCACUACAUCCAACUUUUCUAAUCUCAGAAAAUCUUUAACCACCCUUCUCUUUUUCUUUGAACCCAAACCCCUAGUAUUCCAACUGAUUAUCUUCAUGUGUAAAACUCACUGACCCUAAUCUCCAAACCAAAUCCUACAGGUCUCACAAUCCUGUGGAGCAUCUGCUCUUCCUCUUGGAAUAUACCUUAAUAUCCAGAGACUUUAAAACCUCACGCACUUUUGCCAUUUUCCUAGGGGACAGUUCUUCUAUUUGGAACUCACCCGAAGGAGAGCCCGCAGUAACUCCCUGGUUACCUGUAACCAUGUUGGAGUCCUUAAUAGGCGAAAUUGGAUUAGGCGAAAGAGGGUUGACACUCUCGAACAUCUGGUAUGGAAAAGCAGGCUGGAUCACCUCCAUUUCUAAAGUAGGGAUAUCAACAGAAGUUUGACCUUCAUAAGCAUCCUAGAUGGCUCUAAGCUUUUCUAAGUAGUCUUCUCAAGGAAUUAGAAAGGAUUAUUUAAUCCCUACAAAUUUCAGGGGAAUGAUAUCAAGCAAAAAGUGCAUCAAUGGUUUAAAGAGAUUCACUGUGUUCGAAGGUGUUUACAGUUAAGAGUUGAAGUAGCUAAUAAGUAAAGGGGGUAUAUUAACAUUUUCUAAUUUCCUUAUAAAUAAAUUAAAUAAUAAAGGUGCAGGCUUCCUAAGAAUAAUCCAGAAAGUUCCCUGCAUUUUUUUCUUCUCUCUUUCAUUUUCCUUUUUCUUUCUUUUGUGCCAAACAACUUGGUACUAAAGCAAGGUUUAAAUCAUCAGAAUGGAGACAUAAAGUUGAAGACAGAUUAAGCAUGAUAUCUGAAGGAUGUUGAAAUCAGCAGUACACACAGAUGCCGGCACUAUAUGGACACAAGAAUCCUAAAACUCUAGGGUUCUUUCAGUAGUUGUUUGGAGAAUUAGAAUCUGUCAUUUCAUAGUAUUUUGAGGUUGUCUGAUAAGUCUUUCCAUUCUUCUUGUAUUUUUCAAAAAAAGGAAUGUUUUAAAAAAAAAAUGAAAAUUUUCGUAGCAUUUUGGUUUUCACUAGUAAUCAACUUGCAAAUGUUCUUACUAAGGGAGUCCCAAGUCAUGAAUUUCAUUAGGUGUUAAAUGUUAGAUAAGUUGGGCAUGUGUGAUAUACAUGAACAUAUUUGAGGAGUGUUGAGAAGUAGUUAAUAAGUGAGAGAGUACAUUUGUAUUUUUCAAUUUCCUUAUAAAUAAUAAAGGAGUGAGCUAUUGAGAACAGUCCAAACAUUUUCCUCCUUUCUUUUCUUCUUCAUUUCUUUUCCCUUUUUUCUUUUGUGUCAAACAACUUUUACAUGGUGGGGUAAGUAGUAUAGCAGCAAGGAUUCUAGAUGUCUAAACUUCCCAAAUGUACCUUUUGUACUUUGCAAUCAUGUGACCAAUUUCCUCAUUCAUGAUAACCUCUCAAAAUUUUCAGUGUUGCACUGCUACCCCUGAGAUUGUACUGAACAUAGAGCACAAUGUGCCUAGGGUAUGCAGUGUGAUUGGCUGUAUUACAAAAUUCAAAUAUCUAACAGAAAUAUUUGAAUUUUUUCGUUUUCUGAUAAAUAAAAAAAAUCAAUAUGCGCAUGCUUAUGUUACACAUGUGAGUCCAAAUUCUGUGUCUUUCAAAUAAAAUCUAAGCACCCAGAAAGUGUGGAGCAGAGUAAUUCUUCAAGGAAAGUUUUAAUCUUAUGAUAUAAAUGAUUAAAUACAGGCACAUCUGAAUCCUUUCCAUGAGGAGCCACAAAGCUAACAAGCAAGGAAAUGGUUCAGAAGUCAACACCUCAACCAGGAUCCACCAACGUUGUGCUGCACCAUGAAAACGAUCCUUCCAUACGAAGUCUGAAGCUAUGAGCAGAUCAAUCUGAGAAAUGAAAUUAAAUAUCAAAAUAUAGAAUCUACUUUCAAUUUCUAAAUGAUCAAAAAAAAUGUCUCCAAAUUGAAGAGGAAAAAGUAAAACUGUUCAUCAAAGGAGUUACCUUCAAAACAGUUCUGGUGAUUGGACUUACAGUUGCGGACAACUGGAUUGAUGGGAAAUAUCCUAAGUAUUGCUUAACCAACUACCAUUGCAAAUACAAGCCAAAUAAAAACUAUCAGUAUUAGCAAACUGUAAUACCGUAGAGAACUCCAUCACACCAUUUUUUAAGAGGAGUUACACCUUUCCACCAGAUGCAUAACGAAUCAGGGCACCAAUGUCUUUUUCCUGCAUAUCGUAGAGGCGAUCUAAGUCAGCCCCACGAUCUUCAAGCUUCCGCAGUAUCUGAAACAAACAAGGAGUGUUACUUGACAAUGAACAUAGAACACAAUCAAUUUAAAUAAUACUAUAAUAAUGAUAAAUUGAUGAUAUGCUAAACUAACGUCUGAUGAAAGAUCCUUGUCAAAUUGUCUGAGGGGAUGUUGAUGUGGCCAAACUUGGCGAUCCACAGCCUUGCAGUAAUCCAACAUGAAGGAACACAUCUCACACCACCCUCUGCGCAAACAAAUUUCAAAUAACGCUCGCAUGAUGCGAGCCAAACUUGCGCUUAUGUAUGCAGCAUCAGAAAUCAAUGAAAAACUAUCUAUUGAACCCCGAGAUAUGUACAACUGCAAAUUAUAUAAGCAGCAUAAUUGUCAGAUACAACCUUCUCUUCGAUUUCACAAACAAAAAGUGUCUGCUGCUGUGUGACAACUGACCUGAAUAAGAAUUGAAAUUUUUCCAUGUUUAUUUGAAGGACCACCCUUAAUUUCUAAGGGGCAUGAUGUACGUGCCAACAUUUCUAGCUCAUUUUGUUCCUCCUCUCGAACAACAAUGUUUUCAAACUCAGAAGAAUGGGCUACCAUGUCAAUUACCUAUAGAUAAAAAGGAACAAACCCAUAAAAUAAAUAAAUAUAUAUAUAUAUAUAUAUAUAUAUAUAUAUUAAAAAAUAAAUACAACUCUAUAGUAUGAUAUUAGUUAUAAACACAUAACACCAGAGAUUAAAUAAGUCAAUAGAUUGCCAUAAGAGUCGUGGAACCUUACACCUAGAAACUACGAAAAUAUCUACUAAACAACCUAUUUUCCUAAAAGCUUAAGCUUGCAGGAUUUGGGUUCAAUAUGCAUAUCAUGCUAUCUUCAACACCCUCUCUCAUGUGCAGCCCUAUACUCGUACGUGGAGAGAUACACAAACUGCAAAUUGGGGGAGAGGAGAAACAAAUGGGGAAACAAGCAUGCAAAUUGCGGAAAGGUGGCUCCAACGCAUGACUUGUCAAACCAAAUUUUGCUUCCAUAUUGAACAACCAAUUUUCCUAAAAGCUCAAGCUUGUAGGAUUUGACUUUAAUAUACAUAUCAUACUCUCUUUAACAAUAUCUUUCCAAAAGAUAACUCUACAUGAGUAAGAAAUAUCCCAUAAUUGGUAUGAAAGAGAAGCUCAUAAAUCACUAGGCCUUUUGAACUAGAUCCCAAAAACUACUUAAAAAAGGAGGUAAGAAUAACUUGUACCUUACAAAGAUUUGUUUACUUUCUUCUUUUUCUUUUCUUCGGUUUUUUUUUUUUUUUUUGUUAGAAAAAUAAAAAUAAAGGUAAGAAAUGUUAUAGGCUUCUAAACUAAAUCCCAAAAACUACUUAAAAAGAAAAGGUAAGAGUAACUUGUACCUUACAAAGAUUUUUGUACUUUUUUUAUUUUGUUAGAAAAAUAAAAAUAAAGGUAAGAAAUGUUGUUAGUAUAAAGAAUGGACGGGUAUACAGGAAGAACAAGAGCUCCUUAAGGGAAAAAAAGAAGAGAGUACAUUGCAUAUAGUUUUUGAAUUAAUUUCAUGUAACAAUAAGAAAAUAGGAGUCCAAAAGUAAAAAAAAAUUAUGUAUAUUAAAGAAAUGCAAUAAUCAUAACCAAUCACCUCACUGUCAUUCAUGUGGCGCCUCAACAUUUCAUUGUAAGUUUCAACACUGGAGUAUUGAAUAUAAAAGUGGCUAGCAAUUCGACCAAGCUCUGUACAGUAAAAGUUCCCACUUUUCUCAUCAAACCGCAUCAUUUUUGCUUUGUCUAGUGCACGUGCAGCAUCUGUUACAAAAGCUCUCUGCUUUAAACUCAAAGAAGGAUCUGCAAUGACCUGUCAAACAAAGAUGCAUGGAUUGUAGGAAAAAGUGAAACCUAAUCAGGAACCUCUCUUUUCUGAUGCAAACUAAAGACAGACAACAUUGUAAAAAAUUGAAUGUACAUAAUAGCAACCACCCAUUUUAAUGAAUGAAAAUGCACACAAGAAUGGAUUAAGCAUCAGCAAAUUAGAAAAGAAGACUGAUAAUAAGAAAAUGGAAACAUUGGUAAGAACGUUCAUAUAUACAUACGCAUGCACAGACACAUGUAAGAAAGUAUGUAUAUAUACAUUGCUGCAGGCACACACAUGUACACUUCCCGUGACAUAUCAAGGUGGAUUAAUAUUAAAAGCCUUACUGUGGAUCACAAUGAAUUCUUAUCCAUAAUCAUGAAGAUACCUCAUCCCAUCCAAUGCCAUAUGCCAAAGGAUUCAGCCUCAUCCUUAUAAAAAGGUAUGUAUACCCAAGCCAUGCACAAGCUUCCUUAACAUUUGUAACAGUACCCAAUGCCACUUCUGCAUUCAAAUUAUCUUUCAAGGAGCUAAUAAACUGCAAAAAUAAAAAAUAAAAAAUAAAAAAAGCAAGAAACAAAGAGUGUAUCAAGUGUUAAAGCCAUAUUUUAGGACUGAUCCAUAGAUGCAAACAAGUAAAAACUUAAUGUGAAGUCAAAAUAGAUAUGUAUCCAAACAGCAUAUAAUAUAUCCUAUAUCCAAGGAUAUGCAUGAAGCAAAUAGUUUUCCUCCUAAUGGUGUUCUAACAAACAACUUGAAACUACUAGAACAUGUCAGGGAGGAUCAGAUGUGAUUCAAUUGCAUGGAAUAAACUGAAUUUCCAUUCCUUAACCAUCAGCCUAAUAACCUGUUGAGCUAACAGCAUAAGCUCAUAUCAGACAUAUAAAUCUAAACUACCAACUGGUUGUGAGGUGCCUUCACAAAGAAUAAGGACUUCCAAUCUUAUCACUUGAUUUUAGUUAAACAAAAUAAAAGAAGAAACUCUGCAUAUCUGCCAAGAAGGGUCUAUAAGUCUACCCCUUAAUCAACCAAAAUCAUCUUAAAGCAAACCCAAGCAGUGUGUGUACGUCCAUAUGUAGUUGCAAGCUAUAUGUUAAUAUAACCAAAAGUCCUCAUCCCAGUUAUCAAAAGUAAAAUUACAUCAUGAAAAUAUGUUAAAAGAAAUUUAGUGAACUCUCCGCUAAACAAUUGCUUAAAGUAGAAGAUGGCCAUAUGACAGCAUGGAGCUAAUGACAAUGUAUAAGGUUCAAAAUUUAAUAUAAAUAAUAAGAUACCACUCGUUGGAAGAGUAUUGUGUUCCUAAAAACAAUGUGCACAUGGAACACAUAAUGCAAUUUGACAGUUAAUGUCAAGAGUUACUUCUUUUCCUCAGUAACCCACUGCAAAGCACAAACAUAAGAGAGUAGCAUCCAAUCCCAUGGUAACCAAACUGUCACUAUAAUAUUUCAAGGUCUCAACAAAAUCUUCUUGUUCUAGGUUUCACAAUAAAUCAAAAUACAAUAACUACCUGACUUUCUAUGGGUAGUUGACUUGUCAGUAACCGUAGAUAGUAGGCUAGUUUUUCAUGAGAUGUUAUUAUGAUGCCUUCACCACUUUUGUCAAACUGAGGUCUUCCAGCACGUCCAAAGAUCUAGACCAGGAAUACCAUGAGAAUAACUGAAAUGACUCAUGAAAAAUCAUAACUUCAUAACUUAAUUCCAGAUAUAAUUCAAGGUGGAAGAUCUAUCUCUUGCCUGCAUCACAUCAAGCAUGCCCAGAUCUCGCCAUCCACCUGCCUUUGGAUCAUAUAAUUGAGUCCCCUGAAGAAAUAACACCAGAUAAGUUGAAAAAAUUUUAGACAAAAAAUGCCAUAUAAGAUUCAUCUGUCUACAGAAGGUAUUACAUGAUAUAUCCAAUCCUCAAGCUGCCCUAUAUAAUAUUUUUAAAGAAUAGGGGAUCUAAGGAAUGCACUAUAUAAAGAUUCAUUGAGCUACAAAGGGCUUAUUAUUAGAAAACGAAUAUCCAAUUUUUACUCAACACAGACAAUCAUAGUUUGAGAUGAUAUGUGAUUUAUAUAGUGGAUCAUUACGCAGUGGUAAGUGAGAAAGAGACAUGUAGUUUCUUCUCUAUACAGGAAUCAAUCCAGAAUUUAUUGAAUCAUCUUUUACUUUUCUACUGAAGUAUGAGAUAUAGUUUCUACCCAUUUCAAAGCCUCAUAUUUCCUUCUUGUUAUUUUCCAGUAAAAGAACUUAGAAUUGUGGGUGAUCACCCAUAACUAGGGAAAGGACAACACCAGGUAGGUACCUUUCCUAUACAAGGAGUGAGGAAAUGGUUGGUUAUUCCAAUCAUCAUUAAUUAUUUCUUCUGAGUGAAAGGAGCUAUUUGUGUAAUUGGCAGGCUCAGCAAUUUGUCAAAGCUGCUUUAGAAUUGGCAGUGACUUUUUACAGGAAUCAUAUUAUUAAAAGGAAAGAGUGUAGUGCAGGGAAGGAUUAGAUGUCCUUCAAGAGAAACAAAUAAGAAAUAAUUGGACACUGCACUCGCAUACAACCAAGCAAGUUCAAGCCCACUCACACCUAUAGAAAAUCCCCCUAAUAUCUAGGGGCUUUAAGGGGGAUGGAGUCCCAAACAAACAUUUCUAGUGGACUGGUUCCUUGCUUAGCCAAUCGAUCCGCUAUCUGUUUGGCCAACCCAGGCUUCCAAUCAAAGAAGCAGCCCAAACUUCUAGAAAAAAUACACUAUUAUGAGGAUUAACAAAUCAUAACACCAGUGUCCUCAGAUGACAUGCGAAGACCCAGCAGUGGACAAUUAUCAAGCUCCCCUCCACCAAAAAGUAACAUCCAAUGGGACCACUUUGGUUAACACCUGCAAUAAAAGAUUCCAUAGUGCCUUUACCUUCCAGAGGGAAGAUAACUUGGAGAUAGGACCCUACAUUGGUUUACUGAAGCUCAUGGAAGUGUAGGACAGUGGGAACUUGAAUAAUAUCAGGUAGUCAAUCAACAUUUAAUUUUCCACCUUGUCCUGGUUUGUGGCUUUGUAAAAAUUCUAAUAUGACAUUUCAAUCAACACAAUGCUUAAACCAUAGAAAAGUUAUAGAAGUUCAAUUAGCAAAUCAUGCAACAAAUUCCACAAACCUUAAUCACAACAGUAUGAGCAGGUAGAUUUACUCCCCAUGCCAAAGUUGCUGUGCAAACAAGAACCUGAAACAAGCAAAUAGCAUAGUUUCACAAAAAACAUGUAAUCCAAAAUCUAAAACCAGUCAGGUGAAGCAUGAAAAAGCUCUACCUUCAAAAGGCCAUCAGAGAAAAGCCGCUCAGUUAGACCUCUAUCAGCACGUAACAUACCAGCAUGGUGAAUACCAACCCCAGACCCAAAAUAUUCAACCAAAUCUUUGUUUCUGGAUUUCAUGACUUCCAUCUGAAAUGAUUAGAGUGGAUAACCGAUCAACAAAAAAAUGAAAUGGUUACAAGUGUAUCACCAAAAAUGAAGCAUAUGAGUUCCUUGCCUUGACUAAGGAAAACUGUGGAUGUGUUUCAUUCUUAAAAAGCUCUACAUCAUCAUUCCUUCGCGCAAGCUCAAUCUGUUGAAUACUCAAUUUUAUCAUAAAUAAAAUACUGUGAACAGUACAGUGCAACGACAUGCAAAGGAUGGCAUUUCACAAUUUAAUGUUUAUCGAAGUGAGUUUAUCUUGGGAGGAAAAAAAAAAAAAAAGGAACCAUUUCUGACACCAGGCAGCAUAAGAAAACAAAUAUACUAUGACAGAAUAAAACUUGUAGCAUACUAAGCAGACUACAUUUAUGUGCCUCCAUUAAAAAGAUCUCACAACGAACUGUGUGGUCAGAUCUAUACCACAAGAUAAGAAAUGCCAACAAUAUAAUGUACAUCAUCAGUUCUAAUGCAGUUCUACCUCUAGUUUAACACACCCGUUUUUUUUUUUUUUUAAUUUACUAUAUAUAUUUUUAAAGAGAAGGGGCAUAGUAUGGUAGAUAAGGAUGAGAGAUCCUUCUCAAAAAUAAAACAGGGGAAACAGGCCUAAAAACAAAAAUCAAGACUACUCCCACUCAUAUCAUUUAGGGGAGAGGAGUUAAAGAACAUCUGCAAAUCAGUAAAAAAAGGAAUAUGCAAGAUUGUGAUAUCUAAAAACUCAAGAUAUGUGGGUUCCCUCUUACGUAAAAAACGCAACUGACCAUCUGCCUUGUGCUGUAACCUCCAAGGGAAGGAGGCUCCCCUGCCUCUGGAAAUCUGAGUGAUUUUGUGGUGCCACUACAAUUUUAAUCAAGAAGAAGAUUGUUGAACCCUGAUCCGGCGUAAAACCAAUAAUCUGAACCUGUGACAAUUAUUGAAUCUAACCCUAGUCAUUCCCCUGUGUCACCAAUGUUUUGAAGACCUAAAUUUGCCAAUAGCUCUUAGGAAAGGAGUUAAAAAAUGCACCAAACACCUAUGUCCAAUUCCAUAUCUUUUGAUAGAUUAUUCUCACAACACCAAACCUUCACUACCCAAUUAAAUCUUAUUGAAAUUUCACCAAUUGCCGAAGAGGCACUUAGAAAUGAGAAUCGGAGAAAAGCUAUUGGUAAGGAGAUGAGUGCUCUUGAAAAAAAUUAAGAAAUAGGAGAUUGUUGAUUUACUCAAAGGGAAGAAACCAGUAGGGUGCAAGUGGGUGUUUGCUGUAAAAUAUGAAGCAGAUGGAACCUUGGAGAGAUACACAGCUACACUUGUAGGUAAAGGCUACACUUAAGACAUAUCAAGAGGACUAUCAACAAAUCUUUGCUCUGGUAGCAAAGAUGAAUACUAUAAGAGUAUUAUUGUCCUUAUCAGCUAAUCCUGGUUGGUCUUUGCAACAGUUUUGACGUUAAGAACACCUUCUUGCAUGGUGACCUAGAAAAAGAGGUUGACAUGUAAGCACCUCCAAGGUUGAGUAAUGUAUUCAAGGCUAAUGAAGUAUGUAGGCUACAAAAAGGGCUUAAAAGCAUUCUUCUAACACAUGGUUUGGAAGAUUUGCUAAAUGGAAGUUCCGAUGGAGCAAAAGGAAUCAUACUCUUUUUAUCAAACGGUCAACAACUGGUAAAAUCACACCUUUGAUUCCUUAUAUGCAUGAUAUAAUUGUAAUAAGGGAUGAUAUUGAAGAAAAAGGCUCAAGACCAGAUGACUUAUCUAAGUUGGCUUCUUAUGUGGUUCAAGGCUUGUUCAGGUUUGAGAAUCAAUUUGGAGAAAAGUGAGCUAAUUCUGGUGGGCAAGGUGCAUAAUAUAGAGAAUUUGGCCUUGGAGUUGGGUUGCAAAGUGGGCAGCCUCCUUUCCAGCUAUCUGGGUCUUCCUUUGGGGGCCCCUUUCAAAUCUGUGAUGGUUUGGGAUGGUGUUGAAAAGAGCUUUCGAAAAACGCUAGCCAUGUGGAAAAAACAGUAUAUCUCAAAAGGAGAGAGGCUCACUUCAAUUUGAAGCACUUUGUUUAGCAUGCCUAUCCAUUUCAUGUCUCUCUUUUGCAUGCCAAGACAAGUGAGGUUGUGAUUGGAGAAGAUAUAGGGGGAUUUUCUUUGGGGUGGUGGGGCUCUUGUGCAGAAACCGCACCUUAAAAGGUGGAAAACGGUUUGUUUGGAGAAAAGGAAAGGUGGUUUGGGUGUGAGAAAUCUCUCUCUGAUGAAUUUAGCCCUUUUAUGCAAGUGGAGUUGGCGGUAUGCCAUUGAAAGGGAGGCACUUUGGAAGCAAGUCAUUAGUCAAAGGUAUGGUGAAGAUGAUGGGGGGUGGCAUUCCUGUGAGGUGAGUGAGAGGUUUGAUGUGGGGUUGUGGAAAGUUAUUAGGAAGAAAUGGAAUUAUUUGAGUGAUAGGUUGACCUUCCAAGUGGACAAUGGGCAAAGAGUGAGAUUCUGGAUGGACAAGUGGUAUGGAGAUGAGCCACUUUAUGAGUCAUUUCCUUCCUUAUUUACCCUUUCUUCGUCUAAGGAAGCUUGGGUGGCGGAUGUUUGGAACCCUAAAGGUGAAGAGGAUGGAUGGACCCCUCUUUUCUCUAGGGUCUUUAAUGAUUGGGAGUUAGAUUUGGUGGAGCGUUUUCUGCAAAAGAUUCAAGCAACUAGAGUUCACAGGGCUGUGGAAGAUAGAGUGAUUUGGACAGCUUCGAGGUGCCGAACCUUUUCAGUCAAAUCUCUCGAUUCUAUCUAGGAACCCAAAGAUCCUCUUUUGUUCCCUAGUGGUAGUAUUUGGAGAUCGAGCACGCCUCCUAAGGUGGAUUUCUUUGCUUGGGAGGCUUCUUGGGGGAAGGUUUUAAAUAUGGACCAACUUCAAAGGAGGGGGUACUUUUUAGCAAAUAAGUGUUUCUUUUGUCUCUCUAAAGUAAAGAUGGUUGAUCAUCUUCUUCUUCACUGUGCAAAGACUUGGGUUCUUUGGAAUCUUUUUUUCUCCCUCUUUGGUGUGUCUUGGAUUCUCUCUUGUUCAAUGAAGGAAACUCUUCUUGGGUGGAAUGGGUCGUUUGUGGGUACUUGGCAAGCGGCCCCUUUAUGUAUAUUUCGGACUAUGUGGAAGGAAAGGAAUUUGAUAGUGUUUGACAAUGAGGAGUAAUCAAUCCAAAGAUUGAAAAAUUUUUUUGCAUGUAACAUGUGGUCUUGGUUUAGGGUGUCUAUAGAUAUGUGCCCUAUCUCUCUUGUAAGUUUCAUUGAUUAGCUAGGCUCUAAGUAAGGGUAGGUGAUAUUUUUUGCUUCUUCCCCCCCCCCCUCCCUCUGGUUUGAGCCUUUAGGCUUCUUUUGUAUACUUCCCGUAUACUCUAAGGGCACUGUUUUUGGUGUCUCCUCUUCACAUUUAUACGACUUUUCUUUACCUAUCAAAAAAAGUAUUGAAGAAAUGGUUGGCCAAAGAAUUUGAGAUAAAUGACUUGGGUGAGCUCAAACAUUUCUUGAGAAUUAAAGUGGCUCAUUCAAGAAACAAUAUUUUUAUUUCCUAACAAAAGUAUAUUCUUAAUAUUCUCAAAGAAACCAAGAUGCUUACAUGUAAGUCUGCCAACACACUUAUUGAACAAAAUCAUAAGCUUGAAAAAGCAUCAAAAGAUGUAGUCAUAGAAGCAAUAUUUUUAUUUCUUAACAAAAGUAUAUUCUUAAUAUUCUCAAUGAAACCAAGAUGCUUACAUGUAAGUCUGCCAACACACUUAUUGAACAAAAUCAUAAGCUUGAAAAAGCAUCAAAAGAUGUAGUCAUAGACAAUGAAAGUUACCAGAGGCUACAUUUAUUGGUCUUACACUAGACCUAAUGUAGCUUAUGCAGUGAGUGUGGUAAGCCAAUUCAUGCACUUUCCUAAAGCAACUCACGUAUGGGCUAUACACGAAAUUUUGUAAUACCUAAAAUCUACUUGGGCAAAGGAAUACUCUUCAAGAAAAAUGAAGAGUUAAGUUUGGAAGCCUACAUUAACGCAAAUUGGGUCCGAUCAGUAGUAGAUUGCAGAUCAACCUCUAGCUAAUGUAGUAAGAGAAAAUUUGGCGACAUUGAGAAGUAAUAAGCAAGUUGUAGUUGUUAGGUCUAAUGCAAAUGCAAAGUUCAAAGCCAUGGAAAAAGGAAUCUAUAAACUACUUUGGCUUAAAACAAUUCUUUGUAAUCUAGGAGUGAGGUGGAAAGCGACUAUAAAGCUAUACCAUAAUAAGAAAUCAAUAAUAAAUAUUGCUCAUAACCCAAUUCAACAUGAUUGUAUAAAACAUGUUGAAGUGGAUCAAUGCUUUAUCAAAGAGAAGAUAGAUAGUGGAUUGCAUUGUACUCCUUAUGUUUCAACAGAUGGAUAACUUGUUGAUAUUUUAACAAAAGGUCUACCAAAUCACUCAUUUCAAUAGAUAACUAGCAAGCUAGAAAUGGAUAAUAUCUAUUCACUAGCUUGAGAGGAAGUGUUGAUGAAUCUCAUUGAAGAUACCAGGUAAUUAACUCCCUAAUAUCUGAGAUUUGAUUAAAAAAUAUCAGGAAAUUAAUUCCCAAAUUUCCGAGAUUAUAUAGCCAUAUAUUUCUUAAUUUAUUUUUCUGAUUUUUAGGGUAGAGAAUUUCUAAGAAUUUGUCAACCUUCUGAUUUUGUGUAAUUUAAUUUCCUAAUUUGUAGGAUUGAACGCUAUAAAGACUAUAUCAUUCUGUCAUAAAUGCAAGAAUAAAAAUCAUUCUUUUCUGCACUCUAGGUGGAUGAAAGUUCUUUGUCAAAUGAAAUAAUUGUUUUUUUUCUUUUCUUAUUUUGGGCAAUCAAAAACACCUUUUUAUCUUUGUUAUGACUGUUCAUAUUUACAUAAACUAUGUUUUAAUAUGUCCUACAAGCACAAUAUUAGACAAUCACGAAUACCAACACACCACACAUCCAUAACAAAAUUGAAUUCUAUAGUUCCAAAAGAAAAGAAAUUUAAGCCAACAUAUAAAGAUGAUGGCAAUAAUAUGAAUUAAAAUUUACAAGAAGUUCAAUCAAACACAAACAACUCCAACUAAUUCCAUGAAGAUGGAAUGUAAGAAGGAAAUACCAGUUUCUCAGCAGUUUUUGCAGUGUCUUUUCGUGAAUGAACAAAAACCAUUGCUUGAUGCCCUUGCCUCAAUGAAUCAACAACCUUGAAUAGAAAACAUUAAAUCUCCCAAGUGGUCAUUCCAAGUAUUAAGUUACAUAAGAGAGCCCAGGUGAAAAAAGAAACCUUAUUAUAGCAUAUCUCAUUUAAAAGUUCAGUGCGAGCAAGAAAGUUCUGCUCACUAAUUCCAAUAUACUGUUGUGCAAGAGGCACUGGUCGAUAGCUAGAAUCAAAGUAGAAUAGUCCUGCCUCAGGAUUCACCCUCAGAAACUGAGCAACCUGGAUGUUUACAAGGGAGAUAAAACCAACCACUAAAUAAUAAUGGUAGAGGCUUGAAAAAUGAGAGCGAGAGACUAAUGAAUAAAUUGAAUAUAAAGUGUGUGAUUGAGAAACCUCCAAAUAAUUGGGUAGAGUGGCCGAAAGGCCAACGAUACGUAUCAUGGUCUGUGUUGACUCAACCUGCCAAAAAGCUCAGGAUGAAAUACUUAAGAGUUAGAACUAGUUAUAUGUAGCAAGUCCCAAGAAUAAAUACAAUAAUACUACUAUGAUUCCAACGACCUAGGAUGGACAAAAUCACAAAUACAUGGCAUAUUAUUUACAAUUAACAGCAGUCUGGGAUUUGUUUCAAUUGCAUAUAUCAAUUGUUGGGCAUUGACAAAAGUUGCCCUCCAAAAAAUAAAUAAAUAAGGAAAAUUGACAAUUUUAUUUGAUAGAGGCAAAGAAUUUAUUUUUUUUUCUCAAGACAGGGAAAAUGUCUAAUAGCCUUUUUGUAAAGAAAUGUUUCCAAAGAUAUUUCCUAAAAAUAGAACAUUUCAUGAAACGUGAAAUAUUGUUUUUCACGUUUUUCACAAAACACAAGCAUUUUAACAAUUAAAAACAGUUGAACUACCAAUUUUCCUAAAAGUUUAAGCUUGUAGGAUUUGGGUCCACAAUGUAUAUCAUGCACUCUAACACCCUCCCUCAUGUAUAGCUUCAUACCCGCACAUGAAGAGACACAUAGUCCAGUGAGCAAGCAAUCACAAUUAACCUCUUUUAGGCUUACUUAAUAAAUUGGGGGUAUAAAUAUAUAGUGGUGAGUAUCAAACACAUGACCUCCCACCAAACAAGGCUCCGAUACCAUGUUGAACUUCCAAUUUUCCUAAAAGCUUUAGCUUGUUGGAUUUGGGCCCACAAUGUAUAUCACACACUCUAACAAAAAACAAUUCAAAAAGGAUACAAUUUCUACCAAGUCCAUUGUUUUGGCUUUUCACUAAACAAACCUGAAAAUUCUGAAUGGAAGUCCUCCGUAGAUAAAUUUAAGGCUACAUGCCUACCAGCAGAGAAUCCUUUUCACCACAUACUCUUAAAUUUCCAAACAUUUAUGUUAUGAUGACCAAAUUCCUUGUGUCAUAGAAAAAACUAAAACAAAACCUAAAUCACAACAACGACAGGUUUAUUCUUGGAAACUCUACCAUGAUCAACCCAUGGUAUGUUUGGUCUUCUUCUAGUUAACAUUCAACUUGAACCAAAUUAGUUUUCAUACCAGCAAAGUCCAUGGUCUUCAUUACAUAUAAACAAACCAGUCAAAUAACAUUCCCUUUUCUUGUCCUUAAUUGGUGCUAACUCUGGGCUCUAGCUUUUCACAUGCAUUUGCUACUUAUUCCAUCUUUUCCUUCAUUUCUACUCACUUGUGUCAAGAAUUGCACUUCAAGCACAUUCAAUUCAUAGACAUGCUGGGACUUGACCACCUGACCUCUGAAUUUUCUCUUUAAAUGUCAAAAAUAAGCAAAUAAAACUGAGGACUAAGACUAGGACCAAAAGAUAGAAAUCACCCAAUGUUGAUGGUUAUGAAAUACAGUCAAUUGCUUCAAACUUAAAUUGGUUGAUAUGAAACUUAGUUAAGAAAGAAAAUUACAUCACACUGACAUUUUACCUGUCGAAGGGUCCGAGCAACUAAUGCCUCUAUUACCGCCCCUCUAUCAUCAUUCAAAAGAUGCACUUCAUCAAUAAUUAAGAGCUUUACGAGCAUCGAGAGUGACAUGUCACUGCUCUUACGAGUAAUGACAUCCCAUUUCUCAGGUGUGGUCACUAUCAUCUGAUUGAAAUGAGUAAACAAGGUUAAGUUAUUUACUUUUAAUCUGUAUGUUCCUACAGCAUGACAAGGCAACAGAAUAUCGUUCAGCAAGCAACCUGAGUUUCUUCAAGCUCAUACUUAGAAAGUUGCAUGUCUCCAGUAAGUUCUCUUACGGAUAUAUUCAAUGGAGAUAAACGAUGACUAAAUGUUGAUGUGACCUCUGCAGCUAAUGCCUAAAAAUGCACAUGAUCAUAGAUUAGCAAUGGACAAUAGAUAAAACAUCAGAGUAAAAUGUGGAUGAGUUUUACCUUCAUUGGAGCAACAUAAACUAUCUUAAAUUCAUUUUUAUGCAAGUAGCCAUCCUUGAAGUGCUGGCCAAUCUGCCACAAAACAUCUUACUUCCCCAAUCAGAUAAAUACAAAAUUGCAAGGAAAAAGUGCAUACAAUCCACCCAAAAGGAAAUUUGCCUAUAUGAUAUCACCAAUUAGGUUGUUGUUGUAGAACAAGCAAAGCUACAAGAGCUUGGCUCAAGAAGCAACUUGAGAAGAGAGAGAAUAUUAGAUAGGCAAGCAAAGUUCAAUCUUGCUCUGGAGGUCAUGAAUUUUUAUGUGAAUCCAAGCCAAACACUGCCUGGCUUGAUAGGCUCAUCAGUGCUCUUAAGAUUGUCAGAAAAAUCCAAGAUACAAGAUUUUGAGCCCAUGCCCAACUCAAUUAAAGUCUUCUUGAGAUAGUAGUAGACAGAUAUAGACUAUGCCCAAUCCUACCUACUAGACACGGCUUGGCUCGUGUAAAACCCCAAUCAACAAUUGUAUGAAAUUUCUUAAAUGGCCAAGAUGUAAAAUUAAGUGGUGGCUUAACUCAAAAUUUCAAGAAAAAGAAGCAACCUUCUUGGUCAGGGUCAUCAGAUAAGAGAUCUUCCUCCAACUCCAAGACGUCACUCAAGUGGGACAAAUUUACAUAUGCAAAUGACAUAACAAUAAGACUCAUAAUACAUCAAGGCAAUUUCUCCCACUUAUACAGCAUUUUAAUCUCCAACCACCAAAAGGACAGGAUUAUAAUUCCAAAAGCCUCAUAUAUUUAUGUCAAACUAUGCUUUAAUCCCAAAGAUCUUUUUUUUUUUUCUUGCAGAUUUUUUUUACUACAUGAAAUCAAACCAGGAAUUUACCCCAUUCCCAGCCAACCCUUUGCCACCUGAGAGAAGCCUCAGAGGUACUUUCAUCCCAAAUAUAGAGCAUAGCAGUAAGGGUUGAAUCCUAACAGAAGAGCAAAGAAAGCCAAGUAGAGCUCACUCUUUGCAUACCUCAUGUAGAAUAGCAAUCAUAGCUAUAUUCGUUUUGCCAGCUCCUGUUGGAGCACAAACCUGCAGGCAUUUAAAAAUCAUUGAGCAAAAAAGCAUCAAUUUAAUAAAACUGGUUCAACAAUACACUAAAUAACAUACCAGUACAUUCUCAUUAGUGUAAUAAACAGUUUGGAAAAUCCGGCUCUGGAUACGGUUAAGUGAUUUGUAGCCAUGGAAAGCAGCUUGAGCAAAGUCAUCUAACUCCUUUAUAUCAAUCUAAGAACAAAAUAUAAUAAGCACAAAACAUAGUAAGAAAGAAAUCAAGAUGAAAAAGCAUCUAAAGAGAAUUUUAAGAGCACACCAAACAGUAACCCGAUUUGUUAUAAAAAACAAGAAAGACAGUAUUCAAUACAGAAGUGAACUCUGAAAUCAAGUCUUGCCAAUAUACUGUGAAGAGCUAUGUUUAAAGGAUUAAAAUGGAGCUAUGAUACACUUUAUGUUUCCAAAAAUUGAAUCUAAAACUUCAAACCAAUAAUGUUCUACAGAGAAUGACAGGUAAUGUAAAUUCCAGGUAAACUUGCACAUUGCAUCCCAGUUAAUAUUAGAGAUAGGUUUAAGAGAACAGUUGACCACAGGGAAGCAUCUGCAUGGCUGGUCAAGAAAGAUCAGCUAAUCUUUAAAUACUUUGGCAACAGAUCAGCUAUCGUGGUGCUGGGUUCAUAGACACCUGCUAAGGUUGGCUUCUUCCCUAGGGAGGCAGUUAGGGGGAGAGGGGAUGGAGAAUAAUUGUUCCUCUUUGUUGCACUUCAUUGACUGUAUAGGAUCCCAUAACCUUUUUUGGCACCCUUCAUAUAAUCCCGAUACACUAGGGGUGCCGCCCGCCCGCCCCCCCAAAACCUUGUUCCUACUCACUAUUGGCCUAUCAAAAAACACAAGAAAUGAAAGUUACCAGUUUUUCUCCAGGUUUCAAUUGUGCUGUUGGAGUUGGUGGGACUAUGACUUCUUCAUAACCCUUGUAAUGCUUCCUGAGAGUUCCUUGAGGAAGGGCAGUAACUGGUAAUGAGUGUGGGCCUUCUCCACUCCCAAUUAGACCAUCAAAUGGACUCUUGUUUUCACUAGCUUCAAGUAAAGAAGAAAAAUUUGCAGCCAACAAAUUGUCUCCAACCCCAUAUUCACUUCCACGUCUAUGUCGUUUUUCCUCUUUGCGCCGAAGUUUAUCAAUCUGCCGCUCAGACUCUGUUUGAACGGUAACCUAAAACAAUGGUUUAAAAAUCACAAUGAGAAAUAUAGCAUCUUGAUGACUGAUAACAGGGCAGAGAAUAGACCAGCUAACAUGGUAAACCACCCUACCCCAGCCCAUUCAAGUAGGGCAAGGGAUGGUACUUCCAUUGCUGACUCAUCAGAUAUGGCAUGGCAAUGAGUUUAAGUUGUCUAACUGGCCCCAUGGUAAUUACAUUGAGGUGAUUUGUUCUACAGCUAAAGGAAACUUUGUUUAAUCAGAUUAUAAAGAGCACCCAACUACUCAAAAGUCUAGCAAACGGCUAAUAUGCGACUGGAAACAUGUAGAAUCAAGAUUAAAUUUCAUUGUAUUUGAAGGAAAAUAGCAAAAGUUUAAAAUUCCCUGCUCCCUUUGGCUGCCCCACAACCCAACCCAACCCACCAACAUUCAUUCUCAUUCCAAGGUUCUUUCAUGCACUUUGCCUGCAUGUAAACUGUUUGACAAAUUAAAAAUAAAUAAUAAAAUAAAAAAAAAAUUAUUACAAGAGACCCAUAGGAAAACCCACCCCACCUUGGCCUGCUUUUCCCCUUCAUCUCAGCCAACCUUUCCCUGGCUCAAGUUUGGGUUGGGUAUGGAAGUGAGAUUUUUAAUACUAGGAUAACCCCAAUUCUCUGGCCAUCCCUAAUUGAUGACAUGAAUCCCUACUUGAUAAUUUAACAAGACAAAUUUUUUUUUCUUCUGAUGAGUAAGAUAAUCCAUGGAAGGGCACCAAGAAAGGUGUUGUAACCUAAGUUAACGAGAACAAUUAUUUUAUACAGAAAGUUAAGACCAUACCUGAGUGCCAUAACUAGGCAUACGUGAUUGUGAAUUCGAAGCUGCUUUUUCAGAUUUCAGCACCAGCAAGCCAUGAUGUAUAGCAUCAGUAAGGUCCUUUCGAUGCUAAAAAGGUGAAAAGGAAGAUUUUAAUCCAAGAAAAACAAGAAAAAGAAUCUUGUAAACUUAAGUCAUUCAAUGCUUAAUCUUUUUAAAUUAACUAAAACAAUAAUCAGAUCAUUAACCAAUGGGUUAAUAUGGAGCUAAAGUAGCAGGAUGGACAGGAAUGGACAGGAAUGUCGUCCUUAAAUGUCAUUAUCAACCAAAAAAAAAAAAAAAUCAAUAAUUCCAGUUGCAAAAUUUAGCAGUGAAUAUGAAAAAUAAACAAUUUAUUUGACCUCUCAAAAUUUCCACCAAGACAAUAAAUUGCAAUUGUUCAGAACAGAAGAAUCACAUAUCAGUUAAUACAAGUGAACUUCAUGAACAAACAUCCAACAUAAAUAAUCAAGAAUAGCUCAUAUCCUUACCGAUAUAAUAUCUUGAACCAUUUCAAAUGCAUUAUCCCCGACAAGAUCCAACAAGUCACCAGCUAUCUUCACAAAAAUAGUUUAAGAAACUAAGAAUUAAGUGCACAUGAAAUUGAGACACAAGUGCUCAAAAAAUCAUCAUAGAUCAAACAGUUAAAGAGAAGCUGGUGACCAGUAC